GAUAAGACCCAAUCACCUUUUGAAUCUGGACAACUUGCGAAAGUUUAUAGCCAAAAAGCAGUAGCAAGUGUCAAUGCACUCUUCAAUGAAGUAAAACCACCUGCGUCGCCAAUGCGGAUUUAUGCACAGUACUGCUGCAAUUGUCAACACCACAAUUAUGUAAAACACACCAAAGCUGGCAUAGAAACUGUCCAUGUCUAUUAAUCCAUCAUCUCCAUUGGAAUUGUUAGGCACUCUCACUGAUGGUGAUUCUGUUUUGUCGCAACUGUUUUGCAAUGGAGGUCCACAAAGAAGAGGAUUCCCUUUAUAACUGCUCUCAUCAAAGGUAGCAAAUUGAUAUUUCAUCUCCGGUGUUCUUCCUGACAAAUUAUUGUACGACACGUUGAAAACUGCUAGAAAGUUCAGUUCAACGAGUUGUGCAGGAAUUCUCCCAUUCAAGUUGUUGUGAGAAAGAUCCAAGCUCUCUACGUGCUUCAGAUUGGAGAAAGAUGAAGGGAUCAAUCCCGUGAGAUUAUUUUGUGACAGAUUUAGAGCGAAUAUGUCACUUAAGUUUCCCCAUUCUGUCGGGAUUUCUCCAGUGAAUCUAUUACAAGACAGAUCCAUAGCAGACAUGUAACGAAGGAUAUCGCCCUCGUAAGUGUAGAAAUUUUUCUUUGCUGUAAGCUCUACAGCUAUUUUUACAUCAAUCUCUGGCCACAUAGUUUUGCUAUCAAUAUGAAAACCUCUGUUACCCAAUUUUCUCCCCCCUAUGGAUGCCAAUAUUUCUUUCUGGCUUCCAUCAUCUUCUGACACCGUAUCUGUGACGACCAAAGUUUUUUCACCCGAUGCCGUAAAAUUUAAAUUGCUUAAACAUAAGGGUAACGGACCAGAAAAAUUAUUUUCUGAAAGAUCCAAUAUGCUUAAUUUCCUUAACAAGCAUACCUGAACAGGAAGUUCCCCAUUGAAUUGAUUAGAUUUCAGAAGAAGAAUGCUCAAUUUCGAUAGUCUAUCAAUCCAAUUUGGAAUUGGCCCAGUUAAGUUGUUAUUGCCAAGAUCUAAUGUCACCAAAUGAGAGCUAUUAUAAAAAGCAUUUGGCAGUGGACCACUCAAUCGAUUUCUGUAUAGGUGGACAUAGCGUAAAUAUGGUGUUUGGAAGCCCAACGACAAUGACCCAGACAGAUUGUUUUCAGAAAGAUCUAAAAAUUCAAGCAAAUAACAUCUGAAAAGCUCUAUUGGAAUGGUACCUUCAAAAUGAUUUCUGGACAAGUCAAUUCCCUGCAAGAAUAUUGAAGAGUUCCCAAUUCCCUUUGGAAGCGUGCCUGACAAAAGAUUGUUACUGAUAUCAACCAACCAAAGUGAUGAUGCAAGAGAAAAGGUGCCAGAUACUUGUCCAACAAAUUUGUUUCCAUCUAGAAAGAGGUAACGCAGGUGAGUCAUGUUGAAAACAAAAGGCGGUAAUCGCCCUUUGAAAUUGUUAUUGGACAGCUUCAAAAACCACAACGAGGAGCCUCCUGUAGGCAAGUUAUGCUCAAGUAGUUCACAAGUCAUAUGAUUGUUGGAAACAUCCAAGUAUGCGAGAGAGCUCAUAUUCCCAAAAGGAGGAAUGCAACCUGUAAGGUUGUUGUUAGCCAUCAAGAAGUUCUUCAAACGUGGAAAAAUCAAACAUGUGUUUCUUGCAAUUUGACCAUGGAUGUUGUUGUCAGAAAUAUCUACUGUCCGAAGGUUGGGUGUUGGAUGUUGUGGCAACUGCAAAGGACCUGUAAUUGAGGUGUCUCUCAAAUAUAAUCGAUUUAACAUUCUAUUAUUCUCAACCAGCCAUGAUGGGAAAGGUUGUCCAAUGAAUUUGUUGUGGGAUAGAUCAACAAACAUCAAAUCAUAUUGGCUAUGGAGGAAGUUUGGAAAUCCAGCCUUGAGUGGUUUUGAAGUACAGUUUGAAGCACUGAAAAAACGAAGCUGGAACUUGGUAGCUGAAGGCUGAAAACUGGGUGCAGGUAUUAGCUCAUUGUUAUCGCAUGCAAUGAACUUGAGGUUGGAGUGGUUCAUAAAUGAACCAAAAGAUAUUGGAACUUGAAAGUAAUUAUUUGAAACUGAGAGGUAUUCAAGCUGCGUAAGAUGGGAGAGGUGACUAAAGGCAAUAUUUCCCUCCAAUUGAUUGUCAGAUAAAUCCAAGAAUUGUAGAAAUGAUAGAUUUCCAAGACAAGGAGGGAGCAAGCCCGUUAGUUUGUUUCCUGAGAGAAAUAGCUGUUCAAGAUUCGUCAGUUCACACCAGCCUGCACAUUAUAUCCAUAUGUUCAUGUCAAGGGAAUAGGAAUAUAUCAAUUAUGUACUAUUCGUUGAGAGAUCUAUUCGAAUACAAGUUUAUUAGCGAUUUAAUUUACCUUGGUGAGGCAGGGUGCCAUUUAGCAUACAGCUUUCCAGAGACAAAAUUCUGAGAGCAGGAAACGGUCCAAUAUUUAGAAGAAAACUUGCUGUCAUGGGAGAAGCUCGAUCCAGGAAUAGCUCUUCAAGUUUGGUGAAAUUCUGCGGUCCUAAAGGAUUAAGAAAGGUGCGUUCUUAAUAUCAUUUGAGUUGAGAUUGAAGGAAGCGGAAACAUAAAGGGAUUGGGUUAUUAAAAAAAAAUUAUUAUGGGAAAUUAAAAUCAUUUCCGACAUAAAUUUCUAUUUUAUUGAUCCAUAUGUAUAACCAGCUUAUAAAAGGAAAAACGGAGAAAUUUUUGUUGAUAAAAUUACUAAAUAUCGUCAUAAACGUAAUGGUUUAAUAACAUGAAAAUUCUUUUAUUCUUUCAUGGGAAAUUUUUAGAUUCAUCAUUUGACACAUAUUUUUGCUAUCCGAAGAAAGGAGCUUGAGAUUUGAGUGGUUCAUAAAUGAUUCAACUACUUAACAAAACUGGGACUUGAUUGUAAGACACAUCCACCAGUUGUAAUAGAUGACAAGUUUCUCAAACAAGUUGUGAUGAGGGACACGUAUCUACAAGUUUAAACUCAGAAAGAAGUCUGAAUGUGUCAAAUAAUCUUUUAAUUACCUUGAGCAGGUCCGGUGCCAUGGAAGUCAGCUCUGGUCAAGGAUAAAACUUUAAGAGUAGACAAGGGUCCAAUGUUCCGAAGAAAGCUUGUUGGGAGAGAAGAAUAAUCGAGGAACAUUUCUUCAAGGCUAGUCGAAUUACACAAUCCUGUGGAACAGAUAAGAUAAAUCCAUUAAUGAAAGUGAUAUAUAAAUAUCAUGUUUUAGGCUCCAAACUGUAACUGACCUUUACCAGAGUGUAUUCCUUUAAAUUUGCUCCCAGUAGCAUAUAAGCUCUUGAGGGAUGGCAACGCUCCCAAUGACUCUAUCAAAAUGCUUUCCUUGAAGUCAAUUAUUUCCAGAUACAAGAUUUCUAAAUUCCUCAAACCUGUGAUGGAGAGCACAAUUAAUAAUAAUGGCUUUUUUAUUUUUUAUUUUUUAUUUUUUCCUGAUUCCAAGUGGUACAGAUAUGUGUGUUCUACAAUUUGUUUUAUUUAUGUGUUGUCAUCUGGAAUAAUUUGGAGCACUAUCGUAGAAUGAGCAGGGGUGCAUGCAGAGUAAUUGAUCUAGCAGUUUCCGGCUGCUGUGUUCUACAAAUUUUUGUUCUUGACUUUUUGUUUGCUCUAUCUAGUUGGAAGUUUUAGCUCAAAAUUGUUGAUAUAAAUAAUUUCUAAUGUUAAAGAUUAAUAUAUAAUUAUUAUUAGAAACUUACCCAACAAUUUAAGUCUUUGAAUUAAAUUAAUUUUAAUAUGAUAUUAGAAUUUUAAUAACCAAAUGUUUAUGAAUUUAAAUCAUCUCACCUCCAUUCCUUUAAUAUUUUUUAAAAAAUAAUCAGCACUAGCGAAAGGUAUACCAUGUAAGAAUCCAUAACUAUUUCACUUGAAAAAAUAUGUUAAAGGAAUUAAUUAUAUAAAAGCAUUUAUAGGGCUUCAUUCAUCUGCUUGAUGAUUAAUGCACAGCUAAUUAUUAAAAAAGUUAACAAAAUAAUAAAUUAAGCCUCUCUAAGGAAUGUCAUCGAGGUAGGAAUGAUUUACCAUUGAGACCAAUUGAUCCUGUAAACUUAUUUUUUGAUAGAUGUAGAGAUUUGAGAGUUGAAAAACCACCGAGAGAUGAUAAAAUACUAUCGUUAAAUUUAUUGUCACUCAGUUCAAGUUCCUGCAAUUCCCUCAACCCUGAUGCUAGCUCGUGAAAACCUAUAAGAAAAUUGUCAAAAGCAAAAAAAUUAACAAAUAUAUAUAUUUCAACCAUCCAUUAUCCAUAAAAGUUCAAUGAAAUAUAAAUUUAUGUAUUAAUUUUUUAUAUACCAAUUGUUCCUGUGAACCUAUUGUUUGAUAGAUGUAGAGAUUUGAGAGUUGAAAAACCACCGAGAGAUGAUAAAAUGUUGUCGUUAAAUUUAUUGUCACUCAGAUCAAGUUCUUCCAACUUUCUCAACCCUGAAGCUAGUACUUGAAAACCUGAAAGAAAAUUGUCAGAAUAAAAAAGAUUACACCUGAAAUUUAUUUUUCAUUGAACUUUUUUGGAUAUUGGGAUAUUGUAUGAUAUAUAUACCCCAAUAUCCAUAAAAGUUAAAUGUAAAGUUACUUGAAAUAUAACUUGAAGUGUUAACUAAAAACAAUUGAACCUUGAUUCUCUAAGACACCAUCUAAUCGGUUGUCGCUUAAGUGGAGAAUCUCCAAUUCUUUGAAAGGCAGAAACAAAGAUGCAUUGAGAUCCAAGUCUUCGAAUGGAAAAGAACUUACACCUGAAAGAUGAAGUUCGAUCACUCGGUUUGUGGUGCUGUCGCACACAACCCUACCCCAGUUACAGCAAUUAAAAUGCUCUUUAUCCCAACCUUUUGAUAGAGGUAGUAUAGAUAACCCAGCAGUUGCAUGACUGAACCAAGCUUUUAUCUCUAAGAGACUAAUUCUCUCUUCCUCUAAACAACAAUGGCACCGCUCGUUGACGAAGGCCAGUGCCAUGAGCAGCAUCCACACCCACAUUUGCCUCAUCUUCAUAUUGACUCUCCUACUUGACAAAAUACAAUAGCAAUCAAGUUGUCUCUUAUAUACAAUUUUGUCCUCUUCAUGCAUUUGAUCGGACAGUGACAGUUAUCUGUAUCAUUGAAUUAAUUAUCCAAGGUAGACUUGGGCUUAAUUGAAUGGGAGAGUCUUCACGGACAGUGCUAGCCGUGGGCCCGCACCACGGCACAGAUCAACGUGGUUGUUGAUAUAUAUUUUUUUGUUAUACUAUCUUAUUAUUUAAUUCUUUUUUGUUUUUAUGUUUUAUGUUUCCCUGAUCUACUAUUGCAUUUAGUACCUUAACAAUAUGCAUUCAUUGCCAUCUAGAAUUUCAUUCAAUAGAGCGAUUAAUCAAGAAACUUAUUAUUGACUUUCAUUUAAAUUAGAAUACAUGAAUAAUUUAUGAGUUUGAAAAAUGUUAUCCAUCCAUAUUAAUUACACAAAUUUUAAAAUAAAUUGCAAUUAAGUUUUUCCAAACAAAUAUCAUUACAUAAGGAAUACGUACGUACUCAAGACAUAGGAAGCCAAGUUUCCAAGAUAAUCCAUUAUUCAAUUUUGUGAAUGAUGAAACUUUUCAAGAUAAUCCUUAUAUAAUAAGGUUUGAUCAAUUUUUUCGAGAUUGUGUUAUCAUAAAUCACAUAUCGUUUAAGUUUCCAGCUUAUAAUAAUAAUUUACACGAAUUAUUGGUGAGAAAUCUCCAAAAUCAUUUUAAAAAAGACAAAUCUAUAUGUCUUAUAGUGCUAUCUCUUUUUUUGUGUUUUCAAAUGUUUUUGUAUUAUGUGUACAUUAUAUCAUCUCUCAUACACAAAAUAUGAGACAUAAUAUUUUAUUUUUAGGAAAAAUCUAAUAAUCCCAUAAAUGAUCAAAUAUCAAUUUGCUUUCCCUAAAUAAUAUCACAUAUAUUAUUUCAAAAUAGUUUUAGAAAUUUGUUCAAUCAAGUCUGUACUUAAUUUUUCUAGGUUUAUAAUUGUAAUCACGUGUAUCAACUUCACUUUAGUUCUUAAUUUCUAAAACUUAAUUACAAUCAAGUCACAUUUAAUUAAUCAUCUCAUUUUAAUUUUUGAUCAAUGAUUUUUAAUGUGUGUGGCCAAUUGAGUUCUUAACAAGUUGGCUCAAAUAUAAAUAACAAUCAUAAAUAAAAUACAAUUAAACAAUUUAACAAUUUAACUUAUCAUUAAUUUAACAAAUUAAUUAAUUAAUAUUUGAAAAUCAAGUGCAAUAUUUAAUAACAUGUCAUAACCCUCUAAAUAUUAAAAAGGUCAUACAUGUUUUGACUUAACUUUUUAUUGACUAGUUUCUCAAAGUAAUUAUUAUCCCUUUAUUAAGAAUAUUUUAAUUUAGAUAUUAGAGCACAAAGUAUAUAUGUUCUAUCAAAUCAAAUUUAUUAUCAACAUCAUAGUCAUAGAUUAUUUGAAUAAGAUUUGAAACUCUUUACAAAUCUUAUUACACCUUGCACAAUGAUUUCAUAGUCAAUACUAUUUGUCGCACGUGUAUGGCAUCGCGGCGAUCGUCCACCCUCAAGGAAAAAUGUAAUGGACUAUCUGGUAAAUGUGGAGAGACAAGGAAUUCUUGUCACUUAUCAAUGGAAAAUUUAAAUAGGAGUCGCCACCUAGUAUUCUAGUCACUAGGAACCCUAACUGGUCUUAGAGAUCGGAUACGGAGACUGGUUGCGUAAAGGGAAUGUAUUAGCACCCCAAAUACUCCCUACCUAAGGUAAGCUGCAUUGUUUUGUCUAAUAAAAUCUAAAGUCUUGUUGUGGUUUCUAAUUGUCGGUCCGUUUACAGUUUAAGAAAAGUCCUCUGUAAGGAGAUCCUUAUCUUAUCAGGUAAAACCUAAUUAUUUUAAGUUGUCAAAAGAAAAUACCUUUUUAAUAUCGGGAAUACAUUUUACGUAUAAAUUCAUAAUCUUUGAUACUAAAAUCAAACAAAAUAAAAAUUUUUUUUGUUUUUGAAAUUUUGGUCAAUGUUCUCUUCACUUUAAUAAACUGGUUAUUAAAGCCACAAUGCAUGCUAAAUUUUUUUUUUUUCUGGUGUAUGAAAAACACAAUAUGAUUUUUUUAGCUUUUGAGACACUUGUCCAUAUACACAAAAAGAUUUUUUCUUUUUCUCAAUUUUUUUUGUAUUUUGGAAGUUUUAACAAAAAUCGGGUAUUUUAAUAUCGAAUUUGUAUGUUUACGACGCAAAAUACUGACCGAUAUUAAGCAAAACAAAAGACAUAAAUCAAAAGGAGGAAAUCAGAAAAUAUUAAAAAUAUUUUUUUAAAAUGGGCCGGACCCAGCCCAGAUCAAUGGGCUGGGCCGGACCCAGCCCAGAUCAAUGGGCUGGGCCAGACCCGACCCAAAAAACUAAUGGGCUGGUUACUGUGUAUAAGCACAGUAACCAGCCCUUCACUCUUUCCUGCAGAACGUGAAUUAUUCAUGUUUUGCAUGCAAAUACAGGCAGGGACAAGAAGAGGAAAAUGAAUGAGGCAGCAGGAGGUUACCUAGGGUGGCGUCGAGGCGGUGUUGCUGGCAGCGGCAGUGCUACUAUCGUAGUGGUAGUGUUGGUGGCCGGCGGUGCUUCUCCUUUUUCUUCCUCUCCCUCCUUUGUUUUUUUUUUAUUAUUAUUUCUUUUUCUUUCCUUUUCUCCUCCUCUUUUCUGCUAUGUCUUGUCUCAUCUCUUCUCUUCUCUCUUAUGUUCCUCUAUUUUAUUUUUUUCUUCCCUCCCCUCUGUUUUUUGUUCUUUUUUCGGGUCUGUUUUUCUUCUUCUCUUUCUCUCUUCUUCCUUCUUUUUCUCUGCUCUUUUCAGUCCUCUUGCCUAUCUGCUCUCUUGUCUCUCUUUCUCUCUCUCAGUUUCCCCACCUUUCAUCAUGCUCUCCCCCUCUGUAUUUAUAGGUGAAAACAAAGGGGGGGGGGAGAGGUCGAGGUGGCCACUGUGUUGCCACCCCAAACCGCCCAAGGGGUACGUCCCCUCCAUUCUUCCACCACGUGGCAAGCAAAUGGGUUGUAUCGGCAUCUUUUUUAGCUUUAAGAGAGAGAGGGAGCUAGUGAAAACAGGGGAAUAAAACCUUCUUCUUCCCCUAAUUUCUACACAUCGAAGGGAAGAAAGGUUGUAUCGUUCAAAAAGGCACCAUUUUGGGCUUUCUCUCUUUCUUUGUUUUUAUGAACAGUAUAUGAAACGACGCUGUUUUGGUCAAAAUGCGUCAUUUUAUUUAAAUGGAUUUUGGUGCCAAAACGUGUCAAAUUCAAAAUCAGGCCUUCAAUUUGCAUGUGUUUUACAAUUUAGUCCUUGGUCUCGGAUUUCUUCAAUUAAGUCCCUAAUUGGCCAUCAAACUUCAAUAUUUAUGCAAUUAAGCCCCUAAUUUGACCAAAUUAAAUCUUAAAAAUUAUAUUUUGACCCCAAAACUUUAAUUUAUUUCAAUCAAGCCAAAUUAACUCCAAAAUUAAUUUUUCUUGCAAUCAAAACCUCCAUAAAUUCAAUUAAACCUUUAAGAAAAUUUAAUUGAGUCCAUAAACCUCUGAUUUUGGUCUUUUCUUUCUCAAAUUAAAUUUUCUUUGUCAACAGGGCUAUCAUCAGUCAACAAAAUAUUGUCAAAUUUUAAUUUUUGUAUUUUUAAACCUUCUCAACCAAUUUUUAACCCUUUUUUAGUGUUGCUGAAGACUGUGAAGAUGAUGGUCAACGCCGGUUCUCGUCUCUACGCUUUCAUCCGAUGGGCUGAGUUUGCGUCUCCUUUGCUCCUGGUUUGAGAUUCUGUCAACUUCAGUUCUGAGAUGAAGGGACAAAGAAGAUGGUGGGGCUGCUCCUUGUCUUUGCGUCGUUUCUCUGCUUUUAUUUUUCUCAGUUUUUUCGUUCCUCGGUUCUGCUUCCCCCCUCCUCUUCUUUCAUUCCCUGGCUUCUUAUAGAGCCAGAGAACGUGGUAAUCAGGGUGAGCCACGUUCCCACGAUAUGCAGUUACAGAUGUCCUGCUGAAACGGUCUUGAGCGACGAAGAAGGUGGAGCGUUUGAACUGGAAAUGGCAACUUUCGUUUUGGACCUUGAAUUUUAGAAAGUUUUGUAAUUAAGUCCCUAGUUAAAUUGUAAUUGGACCCCUGCAGUUUGGCAUCUUUUACAAGUUAGUCCUUGGAUUUUAAUCUGUUUGCAAUUGUGCCCCCAAUUAACCCCAAACUUUGCUAUUUUUCCAAUUAAGUCCUUGAUUUCAUUAAUUAAAUUAAAUCCAAGUCCAAUUAAGUCUUAAACUUAUCAACUCUCCAAUUAAACCCUUUGAUUUGAUAAAGUAAAUUAAUUCCAAACUCAAUUAAGUCUCAAAACUUAUUAAUUCUCCAAUUAAACCCUUGAUUUAAAUAAUUAAACUAGUCAAGAAUUUAAUUAAAUCUUUAAACUUCCAAUCAUGUUGCUCCUAACCCAAAUUUUAAUUCAUUCUUUAUUUAUUAAAAUUUUUACUUGUUUUUCAUUUUAGUAAAUAAAAUAAUUAAAAUAAAAGGUAAAAAAUUGGGUUAUGAUAAUUAUUUUUAUCAGAUUUUAUAUAUGAUGCAUCAAGUUUUUUAAUGUUAAUUGAAAAAAAAAUUAGGAUUACAUCCUAGUCGUAGAUAUGAUUAUUAUUCAUUUAAUGUUAAUAGAAACAUAUAUAUAUAUAUAUAUAUAUAUAUAUAGCAAAAGCAAAAGGUUUGAAUUGGUGGUUAAAAACAAAUAUUUUUUUAUUUUGCGGUUCCACCAGAUGCACCAAGUAAAUUAUUGUGAGGGUGCUCCCCUUCAGUAAAACUUUUUUUAAAAAUAAUUUAGUUUCGGUUGACUCACAAAAUUGAGACAUCUAGCUCAUGACUCAUGGCUUUGGCUUUAGACGUAGCUGUAACUUCGCUUACUAUGCUUAUUAUGCAAAGCAAUUAUUUUCAAGCUUCUGGAACGGGGCGUUCCUGCAUCUUCUUUUAUGGCAGAAGAGAUUAGAAAAUGACUUCUAUUGUCAAUAAUUUCUUCUUCCUUGUGAAAUGAUUUCCCGAUACAGCUCUUAAUUUCAACACCUGCUUGCUCUUCUUCUUUUCUUAGUAGACCUGGGAAGUCAAGUUUCCUAAUUAUCCACAUCAUCAAUCUCGAUCCCAUCAAAAAUGAAUUUGGUGGAAGAAAGAAAAAAAAUAAAAAAAUAUCAAUUAUUUUCAAGCUUGUGGAACGGGGUGUUCUUCCAUUUUCUUGUUUUAACUGUUUUCUUCGUAGACUUGGGAAGUCAUGUGUUAUGAACAAUUGAUUUGAUCUUGAAAAUGACUUCUUUCAAUAAUUUCUUCUUCCUUGUGAAAUAAUUUCCCGAUACAGCUCUUAAUUUCAACACCUGCUUGCUCUUCUUUUCUUAGGAGACCUGGGAAGUCAAGAUUCCAAAAUAUCCACAUCAUCAAUCUCGACCCCAUCAACAAUAGUGCCCAGCAGGAAAAAUUAGUUUCUGACGGUGAGAUGAUGCCAAAAUUGUAGUCAAAGAGACUUGGAACUCCCUGAUGAUGGUCUCUAGCUCUGGAGGUUUAUUCUGCCAAAAUUGCAUGGGCCGUUUUACAGCCUUCGUAAUGGGCUUGGCUACUUUGGGUAAUUAAAAAAACCCAAAUCGAUAAUGUUUUUUUUUUUUUCCUUUGGUAUCCGUUUAAUCAAUCUUCUGGUUUGAUCCUUGAUAGUGCUGUGUUUUGAUGCUUGUCGAUUAGCCACAAUAAUGUUAAAUUUACAAGGACAGAUCCAAGAAAAGCAAUGCAGGCCUGUAUUGGUCUCUGGGAGUCCCCUGAUAAAGGCUGCAAUCAUUGCUUGAACCCUUGUAAAGGGGCCUUUACACAUGAGGUCCACUGAAGAAGUACAACACCGUUUUUUUAUUUAAUUCUUAUGGUUUAAAUCUACUAAUAACUUAGUCAUUUUGCAUGCUAUUUUUCCACUUGUUUUGUAAAAUAGAGAAAAGAACAAAGUAAAUCUUUUUUUUUAGUUUAUGGCAUGUUCUCAAAAGUUUUAUUGAUAUUAAUUAAAUAAAAAAGACAUUGAUAUAGCUGAAAAUUGAGAACGAGAGGGAUGAUCAGGAAUGGAUUAAGCAAAAUGGGCUUGAAAAAGACCCAACAGCAGAGAAAAAUCUGAAAUAAACUCUUGAUGUUCAAAAUAGCCCACAAGCAAGGAAAAUUACCAAAAUAGGUAAAUACUGAUUAUUCAAUAAAUAAAGAAACUUCCUAGAAUAAGUGUGACAUCCUUUAAUGUUUUUACCUUUUAGAACAGUUUAUCCAGGUCGAUUCCACUUUGCUUCAACCGACCACAAUGAUCCCAUAUCCAUCUAUACAAAAAUCAAUUAAGCGGUCCAUUGACACAUUAACUUCUCUGGCUCCAUUCCGUCCUGGAUUAGCAAUCUUUCAACAUUGAGUGUUCUUCUUCUAAAAGCUACCUGAUCUUGUCAACCUAUGACAGAUCUAAAGACUUGAGAGCGGAAAGCCCAUUAAAACAUGAUAAAAUGCUUUUAUCAUUAUUAAAUCGGUUCCCACUUAGGUCAAGUACCUCCAGUUUUGAUGGUAGGACUUCGAAGCCUGGAAGAGAAACAUCAAAGCAAGAUAAUUGACAUUAAACACCGACCUUGAUUCUCAAAAUAAUAUAAAUUUAUUCUAUGAUUAUAAGAACAGAAAGAUUGAACCGACCAUGAUUCUCAAAGCAACCAACUAAUCCAUUACCGAUCAAAUCAAGACUUUGCAAUUCGUUAAAAGGCAGAAACAAAGAUGCGUUGAGAACCCAAUCCCCCAAACUCUCAUCCCUUGCACCAAUAAGAGAGAGUCGGAUCACUCGCCUUUGAGUGUUAUCACACUUGAUCCCAUACCACUCACAACAAUUACUACUGUACUCCGCCCAAUCUCUCAUGUAAAUGCUGUUUGGAUUGAUCAAAGGUUUGAUCUCCAUGAGACCAAUUCUCUCUUCCUCCAAACACCCAUAAGAACGACCACACCAUUUCGCCAUCCAAAGUCAAUAAUGUGACCAAAAUCCAAACCCACAAUAUCUUUUUCACCACCAUCUUAUAUUGUUCUAUAAACCACUACGUAGAAUUUUGUUGUUUGUUAUGUGAGUUUGGGCAACCCACAUUUGGUCCCAUUUAAAACACACUUUGGCCAUUUCCAUGAUUUUAUCUGCGUAUCCUGUGCAGGUUCCAUGAUUUUAUCGGGGAGUCAAUUUAAGUUAUUUUCCUGCCACUUUCUCAGCAGUUAUUCUCGUAGAGUCCUAUUUUGUGUUAAACGUUGGGUGCGUAUAAAGUAGUCAAAAGUAGGAUAUCCCGCUUUCUCCAUUGCUGUUCUGCAACAAUAUUUUGGUAGCCUUAUAGCACUCACUACUGGAGAAAUUGAGCUAAAGCAUAAAAUGUCAUGUACGCGGAUGCUUGACUUGCGGUGUGCCAUCUUGACUCUUAAACACCACCGAGCAGUAAUUUCAUGGUGAUUUCCUUAUUAAUACUGGUGGUCUUCCAGAAUCUUUAUCCAAACAACCCUUGCUAGACCGGGAUCGGGGUUGAUCAGGGAUAAGACUCGUGUCAUGACUUUUGAUGAGAUCACUAGGGCUCUGUUUGUUUGCAGGAAAGUGAAUUCCUUUUGGAAAGUGAAUUCCGGGGAAAGUGAAUUCCUGGAAAGUGAAUUCCGGGAAAGUAUUUUCCGAUGUUUGGUAGUGUUAUGGAAAAUGAACUGGAAAACACUUUCCAGUGUUUGGUUGUAUUAUGGAAAAUGAACUGGAAAAUAAUUUAUUAAUGAAUUAAUUUUUUUUUUAAAUUUAUCUAAUAUAUAUAUAAAAUAUCUAAUAUAAAAUAUUUAAUCACUUACAAUAAAAAAAAAUGAAAUCUAAAAUGUAUAAUGAUGAAUUUUUUUUAUUAUAUUCUAUAUUCAUACAUAGCUUAUUUUAUAAAAUAUAACUAUAUAUAUCAUAUCAUAUUAUAGAGAAAUAAGCUUGUGAAAUGUUUUUUACUAUUCCAUGAAACUAUUUAUAAUUCCAUUACGUACGAAAUAUAUCUGACAAAAAUUAUAGUUUUAAUAAUAUUUUUAGCAUGUAACAAAAUUGGAUAAAAUAUUAAGGUUUAAAAUUUACUCUAAACUAUUUUUUUUUAAUGUUAAAAAAAAUAGCACACUUAAAAAAAAAAAAAAAAGAAUCCUACAGGCAAGUGAACAGUGCAAGAGAACUGCACUGUUCACUAUUUUUCCAGUAAACAGUGUACGCAAUACACUGUUCAUGUUAAUUGCACUAUUCAUUGAACAGUGCAAUUAACAUGAACAGUUAAGAAAAAAUGGCUGCUUUUCACCGCUGGCCACUGUCGGAAAGUGUUUUCCUUUCUUUAACAAAAGAAAACACUUUCCUUUGGCAACACUGAUUUAUUUUCCAUUGACUGAAUUCAUUUUCCAUUGACUUUUUUUCUUGUUGUUGCCAAACACUGGAAAAGCAGGAAAGUGAAUUCCAGGAAUUCACUUUCCUGCAAUCAAACACGGCCUAGAUUAACUUUCAUUUUUUGCUAAUUUGGUUGAAGAAAGAAAUAUUUAGCCUGAUUUACUUCCAUAUUCAUUUUCUUUUUAAUACAUACAUGCUUGUAACAAGACAGGAUAAAAGCCAUGUAAACAAGGUAAUUAAAAAAUGUCUUCCGGCAAGUUUGUUUGUUUUUCCCCUUUAUUAUGAUAUAUAUACACGAAAGAAGAAAAUGCAUUGAUUAAAAUGCAUAGACCACCGUGUGGGCCAAUAAAAUGAAAACAAAAGACAAUAUCAAUGGUUUGCAAAAAAAGAAAAAAGAAAGUUUUCUGUUAAAUUUAUCUUUAUGUUAAUUACUUGAUUAACUAAACUUAAUCAUGUAAUAUUGAAUUAUUUGAUGAAAAACUUAUUUAAAACAGUAUUAAUUGACAUAUUUUAAAGUAAAAUAAAAAACAAACCCCGCUUACUUGCUUAUUUUUAAUGUGAAAAAUUAUUUUUUAACAUAAAUUCUUUAACAUAUUAACAUAAAAAAGUUCAAUAUAAUUAAAAUAAAUUGUGAUUAACAUGCUUUCUGAACCAAGCUUUUAUAUCUAAGAGACUAAUUCUCUCUUCCUCCAAACCACAAUGGCAAAUUGUGCCAUGAGCAGCCCUUUUGUCUUCUGGGCUGGAACAUCAGCCCAGCCCACGCGGAUGGGCUGAGUCCAGCCUUGUAGCUGGACCAAUACAGGCCCAGCCCACAUGAUUGGGUCGGGUCUGGCCCAGUUCAAUUUAAUGUUGGAACAUCAGCCCAGCCCAUGUGGGUGGGCUGAGUCCAGCCUUGUAGCUGGGUUAAUACAGGCCCAGCCCCCACAAUCAGCCCAGUUCAUUUCUUUUUUAAAAAAAAAAAAAAAAUUAUUUUCAAAGAAAUUGCAAUUUCCCCGUGUAUUUAUUUUACGUCAUUUUGAUUAAUAUUGGUCUGUAUUUUUAUAUCAUAAAGAUAUAAAUUCGGUAUUAAAAUAACCGGUUUUCAAAAAAAAAUAUUUUUGUUUUCAUACAUACGGCCUAGUUUCUCAAGGCUAAAAAUAAAUAAAAUCAUAUUGUAUCUUCAUACAACAAAGAAAACUUCAAUAUAUAUAUAUAUAUAUAUAUAUAUAUAUAUAUAUAUAUAUAUAUAUAUGUGAACAUGUGUUUUGGCUUUAAUAACCAGUUUAUUAAAGUUACGAGAACUCGGCCAAUAUUUCAAAAAAAUCAAAAAAUAUAUUUUGUUUUGUUUUAUUGUCUGGGAUUAUGAAUUUAUAUAUAAAACGUAUUCCUAAUAUUAAAAUGGUAGUUCUUUUAUAGACAUUAGAACAGUUAUGUUUUACCCCCAUAAGAUAAAAACCUCUUUACUGAGAAUGACUUUUCUUGAACCAUAGACGGACCAACAUGAUAAGACCUUAUAUUUUUUAUCAGACAGUGAAACAAUGCAACUUACCUCAGAUAGAGCGUAUUUGGGGUGUUAAUACCUUCUCUUUACGCAACCAGUCUCCGUAUCCAAUCUUUGAGACCAGUUAGGGUUUCUAGUGACUAGAAUACUAGGUGGCGACUCUCCUUCUAUUUUUUCACUGCUAAGACACAAAAAAUUCCUUGUCUCCCCAUUUUUGCUGGAAUAGAUACAAUUGCACCUAAUGAGGAGAAGUGGUGGGCGAUCAUCGCGACGCCGUACACAUGCAACACAUGUAAAACGGUUUCUAUAUAUAUAAAAGGAAGAAAGAAGAAAAUGCAUUAAAUAAAACAUGGAUAUCUUUGAAUGAAGAAAUUUAGGACACCGCUGACGUAUAUAGACAAAGUAUGCCAAGAACGAGGGGGGGCAAAAACAUUAUCAAUGGCUUGAAAGAACAAGACAAAAUAAAAUCAUUAGUUUUGAGCUUCAGAAGACAAUUUUAGCCAUUUAAUUUUGUCUUCAACUCGUUACAAAAAGCCUUGUCAUUUGAGAUUUCAUGCUUGUAAUGUUUCUGUUUUCAAUUAGUAUUACGCUUCCAUCUGUCAGAAUACUGUUGAACUUGACAAGAACUUUGAGCAAAUUCCAAUUUGAUUUUUGUAGCGAAUUAUAUCACUUAAUUGUUUGCUUAGGCUUAUUUUUAAUGUUCAAUGAAGUUUCACCAAUCAGUCAUCAAAUUCUGUAAAUGUUGCAGAUGAUUGCUAGGAAUAAAUCACAGUCAUUAAAUUUCUUCAUUUUGGUCCUUAAAUUUGUUUGCUAUGCUGUAGUUCUUUAUUUUUCGUGGAUAAAUUAUUUGGUACAGAGUUCUAAUUAAUAGCCAAAAAAGAAAAUAGCUCUGAAGAUAUCAGAACAACUGAAAAGAGAAGCAAAUAAUUGAUAAGGUGGGAGAAAAGAAUAGCAAAAUGCAUAGGCAAAUUUCUACAGUAUCAACUGACAAUGUGGAAGAAGAGAAUAUCAACCUGAUAGAUCAUAUAUGCGAGGCUUAUGUGGUUUACGAACACCUGAUUUGCAGAAGCUGGGGAUAAUGUUGAAACUCAAAUACACUCCUAUACAAUGAAAGGUUUUCUUGAAAACUAUCAUAAUUAAAGCAUAAAUUCAAUGAAAACUAAAUUUGCUGGAGGGGUUUCACAGAUUUUGACCAGAUUGAAUUUCACGAGGCGUCUAGCGUGAAUGAAUUAGGGUUUUCUUCUAGCCUUGAAAUUAUAGAGGAAUAGAGAAAAACAAAAACUCAUAUUUUUCUGAAAAGUCUAUAAUUCAAUAAUCUAAUCUUAAAACAAUACUUCAAUUGUUGAAAUAAAAGUUUUAAACCGAUCUAAUUAAAAGAAUUUAAGAUUAAGUGUGAAAAAUAUAAAAAAUACAAAAUUAUUUAGGAAAAUAAUUAAAAUAGCAAAAAUAGAAUCUUUUGACCUAACUUUGAAAAGAUCCUGUGGUGAUGGAGUCUAUAAAAUUAUCUAAUAAAAUUUAAGUAUAAUAUAAUAAUUAAAAUUAUAAUUAUAAUUAAAGCAUAAAAUGUCGUGUACGCCGAUGCUUGACUUGCGGUUUUCCAUUUUGAUUUUUAAAUACCAGAAAACGGUAAUUUCCUUAUAGAAACUGGUGGUCUCCUCGCGACCUUUUUUCUCAAAUAACUGUUGUUAGAGCAUGAUUGAAGUUAGGAUUUAACCCGUGUCAGAAACUUAAUGACUCUCCUCACUAACAGUAAUUUAUUAAAUAUUUUUAAUAUACUUAGUUCAUGUGAGGUUGUGUUUUCAAAAUCUUCCGAGAAAAAAGGACUAAAUGAUGACACACACGACAUUAAUGCAAAAAUAAAAGAUAGCACUACUGGCCAAAUUAAAUUUCACGAGAUGUAUAAAUUCAAACUAGGAUUUUCCAGCCUUUAAUACUCUAUGGAGAAAAAAACUCUAAUAUUUUUAUAAAAAGCUUAUAAUUUAAUAAUCCAAUCUUAAAACAAUAUUUCAAUUGUUGAUAUAAAAAAUUAAAACUGAUCUAAGAAAACUAAGUGGAAAAAAUAAUAAAAUAUAUUAUUUUCAGAAUAUAUUAACAAUUUAUUUCUUGAACAUGAAUACCAAGAAUAGACAGAGAGACACAGAGGAAUCAUUCACAUUUGCACUUGAAAGAAGCCAACUGUAUGCAAAGAGGGCCAAGAAGAACAAAUGAAUUAGUUUGCUGAAACAGACAAUACAAACAAAAGGAGAAGAAUGAGAAAUCAGAUGGGCAGUGUGAUGGUAUUUUCAGAACUAUGGUUGUGCCUUUUGGAAGAGAAUGUGCUUCUUCUCUGACCAUUGUGUACAAUUAUGGUCGUUGUUUCAUCAAAAUCAGAGGGCUGAUUCUGCCUUCUCCUUUACAGCUUCCAAAAGAAAAGGUGAGAAUGGGCUAUUCUUGCUUUUGAUAUUUGAAAUCAUAACAUGCUCCACUGAUUGACUUUUGGUGUAACAUUUUGAUCCUUAAACUUCACUUGGCCGUAAUUUCCUGAUGAUUUCUUUAUGGGAAACAGGUUGUCUUCUCGCAAUCCUUUUCCAAACAACCCCUGUUAGAGCAUCAUUAAAGUUUUGAUUUGUACCAUCAUCAAAAAAUGACUGUCAUCAUCAUCACAACGUACUUCCAUUUCAAUUAAUUCUUUAUAUUAUAACGCAGCAGAACAUAAAAUAAUGGGUGAAGAUAUUUUAGCUGAUAAUGGGUGAAGGGAUAUUUUUUUUCUAAUUGAAAACGACUUGUCAGCUUUAGAAAAUGCAUGCAGGGCCCAGUUUAAUUUCAAUUUCUCAUACUCUCGUUAAUGCAAGUUUGGACAGCUUGGGGAUGUGUCGUCCAUCCGGUUUCCUUUUUUGAUCGGGAGUCAAUGGGAUUAGUAAUUGACACUUCAUCAUCAAAUCAAAAUUAAAAAUGUUAAUGAACUCACAAUUAAUUGCCAUUAAGCUCCAUUGAGUGUAAACAAUGAAUUUAUAAAAUAGUCAAAAGUGGGAUGUCGUGAUUUCAACAAUGCCGUUUCAGAAAAUUGAUAGUCAUGAUGAAAAGAAGAAGACAGAAUUGUUGAGUUGAAACGUGAACGUCGUGUUCUCCUGAUCAAUUGUAUAGUGAAGAUGGUGGAACUGAUGCGGGUGCAUAGCACCAACCAUUACUUCCCUAAUGAUUUCCUUGCGGAAGAAAUUAUUACAUUUUUAAAGUUAAAAGUGCUAAAGCACAAUUCAAAGAAAAUAAGCAGUACUAAACUUAACAAGCUAGUUCAAUGGAGGAGAAUGGUGUGCUGAAACACUAUGAUUUUCAAAAAAAUUGAAGCAUAUCAGAUCCAUGCUGCUGCAUUCGCAAGAAACGAGCACCCAUCAACAAUGUGCUAAAUGUCAAUGCAGAGCUUUAAAUCAUCUACAGAGGCUCAUGAAGAAAAUAGGCAUAAAUGAUAACAGAUAACACACCAGAGCACUCUACGUAAACUGAUAUCUUUAGAAAAUUCAAAGGCAUGAAUGAAAAAGAAAAGCUAGAAAUAUCUAAGUCAGCUCUUAAUUUGUAACAGUCCACAACUUCAUGUUUGGUGUGUACUGUAAACUAUGCUCUCCACAUAAUCAUGAGCUUCAUCUGCAAAAAACCAUUUUCACUUCUUGGGACAAGGGAUCAAAAAAAUACAAACCUGUUGUUGGAUUACAUUCAUAAUUUAUAUCAAGCACUAGAUGCUGCUCGAAGGAAGUCCUUCAAGGAAAAAAAUCAGGAACAAAAAUGCUGAGAGGUCCAUCUUGGAGGUCAGAAAGCUGGAGUUCUACUAGAAGAAGAUACCUCUGGAGAGAGAAAUAAAGGAAGCCUGAACUGCUUAGAGUUUUCUUACCGAAGCUUCAAGUUAAGAUCAUUUUCAUUUCAAUUUGGAUGUAGAAAUAAUGAUGGGAUGUGAAAAUUAUAUUUUCAUUUCAGAGAGCUGGUUGAUUAUAUUUUGAAAAAGGGUAUAUAUGAAAGUUAAAUCCUCUGUUCAAAUGAACAAAGGGAUCAACUUGAGCAAGAGUCAACAAGCUAUCCUUCGAGGUCAAUGGAACAUACCACUCAUAUUAAUCUUCUACUAUUUAGGGGAAUUCAUACAUCCACUCAUCUUAAGCUGGAAAACUUAUGGAAAGCAUUCGCAAUUGUUUCCAAUGUAUCGACUGUAAUCAAUCAAUAGAUCAUCAACUAUUGUCCUCAUUGAAAGUUUCCUGCUCCCUAUAUAGAGAAUGUCUGAUUAAUUUCAUUAAAUAUGCAUGAUUCCACUGUAUGUUAGCUAACCAAAAGAGCCUACAGGCCAAAUAAACAACAGGAAUAAGAGAAACUACUUCCAACGCCAUCAUUUCUCCUUUCUAGUAUCAUCUUUUGUUUAAUGUUUAAUGCUCGUAGCCUCUGAGCACUCCAAACUAAUUUUUAAAAUAAAAUAUCAAGAGAUGGCAGAAAAUGAAUGUGCUCAUCAACUAUUUUCCUCAUUGAAAGUAUACUGUGGUAUUUUAAAUUGCUCCAGUUUUUAAAAAAUAGAAGGCCACAGGCCAAAGAAACAACAGGGAUAAGAGAAACCGUUUUUUAUUUGAGAAAAUACGAUACUGCAAACUAUUUCUUAUGAAUAAAUCCCGUAUUACAAGAAGCCAAGAAUUGGUUGGUUGCUCAGCACAACAUAACUCAACAUAACUGAUACAAACAAUUACUGAUACAAGCACAAGGACAAACACAAGUCACAUCAAAAUAGAAAGGCUAAGCAACAAGAACACUUCUCACAGGCAAAUUGCUAAACAUGCAGUGAGCAACCAUUGAUUUGGAAUGCGACUGCUUCUCCACAGAGGAUUGCAACAAAUUCAGAAAGCAGCCCACACGCUCCUGAUAAGAUCCAAUCACCUUCUGAAUCUGGACAACUUGGGAAAGUUAAUUGCCAAAAAGCAGCAGCAAGUGUCAAUGCAUUCUUCAAUGAAGUAAAACCACCUGCGACGCCAAUGCGGAUUUAUGCACAGUACUGCUGCAAUUGUCAACACCACAGUUAUGUAAAACACACCAAAGCUGGCAUAGAAACUGUCCAUGUCUAUGAAGCCACCAUCUCCAUUGAAAUCAUUAGGCACUCUCGCGGAUGGUGAUUCUGUUUUGUCGCAACUAUUUUGCAAUGGAGGUCCACAAAGAAGAGGAUUCCCUUUAUAACUGCUUUCAUCAAAGGUACCAAAUUGAUUUUUCAUCUCCGGUGUUCUUCCUGACAAAUUAUUGUACGACACGUUAAAAACUGCUAGAAAGGUCAGUUCAACGAGUUGUGCAGGAAUUCUCCCAUUCAAAUUGUUGUGAGAAAGAUCCAAGCUCUCUAGCUGCUUCAGAUUGAAGAAGGAUGAAGGGAUCAAUCCAGUGAGAUUAUUUUGUGACAGAUUUAGAGAAUGUAUCCCACUUAAGUUUCCCCAUUCUAUCGGGAUUUCUCCAGUGAAUCUGUUACAAGAAAGAUCCAAAGCAGACAUGUAACGAAGGAUUUCGCCUUCAUAAGUGUAGAAGUUUUUCUUUGUUGUAAGCUCUACAGUUAUUUUUACACUGAUCUCUGGCCACAAAAUUUUAUCAUGAAGAUAACCUUCGUUCUCCAAUUCUCUCCCCCAUGUGGAUGCAAAUAUUUCUUCAUCUAGUGAGUACUUCACACUAGUGUCAAGCACAGUUAUUUCUUCAUCUUGUGACUCCAUACUAGUGUCAACCAAAGUUUCUUCAUCUAAUGCCAUAAAAUUUAAAUUGCUCAAACAUGAGGGUAACGGACCAGAAAAGUUAUUUUCUGAAAGAUCCAAUAUGUUUAAUUUCCUUAACAAGCAUAACUGAUGAGGUAGUUUCCCAUUGAAUUGAUUAGAUUUGAGAACAAAAAUGCUCAAUUCCGAAAGGCUAUAAAUCCAAUUUGGAAUGGGCCCAGUUAAGUUGUUAUCGCCGAGAUCUAAUGUCACCAACGAAGAGAGAUUACAAAAAGCAUAUGGCAGUGGACCGCUCAAUUGAUUUCUAUAAAGGUGGACAUAGUGUAAAUCUGAUGCAAGGAAGCCCAACGACAAAGACAAAGACCCAGACAGAUUGUUUUCAGAAAGAUCUAAAAAUUCAAGCCCAGAAGAAUUGAAAUAUUCUAUUGGAAUGGUACCUUCAAAAUGAUUUCUGGACAAAUCAAUUCCAUCAAGUUCGUUUAGUGAAGAGUUCCCAAUUCCCCUUGGAAGCAUGCCUGACAAAAGAUUGUUACUGAUAACAAACCACGAAAAUGAUGAUGCAAGAGAAAAGGUAUCAGAUACUUGUCCUGCAAAUUUGUUUCCAUCUAGAAAGAGGUAAAGUAGAUCAGUCAUGUUGAACACAGAUGGUGGUAAUCGCCCAUUGAAGUUGUUGUUGGACAACUUCAAAAACCACAACGAGGAGCCUACUGUUGGCAAAUUAUGCUCAAGCAGUUCACAAGACAUAUGAUUGUUGGAAAGAUCCAAGUAUCCGAGAGAGCUCAUAUUCCCAAAACAAGGAGGAAUGCAACCUGUGAGGCUAUUGUUAGCCAUCAAGAAGUUCUUUAACCGUGGAAAAAUUGAACAUAUGUUCCUUGCAAUUUGACCAUGUAUGGUGUUGCCAGACAUAUCUAUUGUAUGAAGAUUGGGUGUUGGAUGUUGUGGCAGCUGCAAAGGACCUAUAAAUGAGGUGUCUCUCAAAUAUAGUCGAUUUAACUUUGUAUUAUUCUCAAACAGCCAAGACGGGAAAGGUUCUCCAAUGAAUUUGUUGUGGGAUAGAUCAACAAACACCAAAUCAUGUUGGCUAUGCAGGAAGUUUGGAAAUCUAGCUUUGAGUGGUUUUGAAGUACAGUUUGCAGCACUGAAGUAAAGAAGCUGUAACUUGGGAGCUGAAGGCUGAAAACUGGGUGCAGCUAUUAGCUCAUUGUUAUCGCAUACAAUGAACUUGAGGUUGGAGAGGUUCAUAAAUGAACCAAAUGAUAUUGGAACUUGAAAGUAGUUAUUUGAAACUUUGAGGUAUCUGAGCUGCGUAAGAUGGGAAAGGUGACUAGAGGCAAUAUUCCCCUUCAAUUGGUUGUCAGAUAAAUCCAAGAUUUGUAGAGAUGAUAGAUUUCCCAAACAAUGAGGGAGUGAGCCCUUUAGAUUGUUUCCUGAGAUAAGUAGUUGUUCAAGAUUCUUCAGAUUCUUCAGUUCACACCAGCCUGUAGAAUAUAUUAAUAUAUUCAUGUUAAGGGAAUAAUAAUAUAUCAAUUAUGCAAGUGCUUAGUGAGGUUUUAAAGUUUUAGUUGAUUUUUGUUUCAAUAGCUAGGUCAGUUCUAGAUUAUAUUUAAACAACUUUGUUUGUUAGUUUUUUUAGAGAUUAAUUAUCUAGAUUAUUGAUAUUCAAAAUUUUUUUAAUUCAAAUUUUUUUCUAUAAUUUAAGACUGGGAAGUUUUAGAGAUUAAGAAACUCUAGAUUUUUGGUCAAGAAGGAUAGAGUGGAAGUAUCCAUUUUGUGUAUUGUAAUAUAAUCAUCUGUUAAAUAGAAGGAAAACAGAGAAAUAAAUGAGAGGAGAAUGAUUUUGUUAUUUCUUGUGUGCGUAAUCCUCCUACCAUUAUAUAUAUACUUCCCCACAUGCAUUACACGAUUUAUUAUAUUGUUAACUAACUCUACCCGACUCUUAACAACUUCUAACACGUGUCCAUGCAUCUGCUAGUUACCCUAAAUUUAAGACUGAGAAAUUUUAGAUUGAGAAACUCUAGAUUUUAUCCUUUUCUAUAUGUAACAUUAGGAGUAAACUUCUAACAUAUCACCUCCAUUCCUUUAAUAAAAUUUUAAAAAUUGAACAAAAGUUAAUGGUUAAUACACAUCUAUUUAUUAGACAAGUUCACUAAAAAAUAAAUUAAGCCUCACUAAGGAAUGCCAUUCAAGAUAGGAAUGAUUUACAACUUUAUCAUUAAUACUAGUUGAUCCUGUCAACAUGUUUUUGAUAAAUAUAGAGAUUUGAGAGUUGAAAACCCACUUAAAGAUGAUAAAACACUGUCAUUAAAUUUACUGUAACUCAGAUCAAGUUCUUUCAAAUUCCUCAACCCUCAAGCUAAUACUUGAAAACAUGAAAGAAAAUUAUGGGAAACAAAGAAAUUAACAGAUAUAUACAGAUUUAUAUAUCAAUCAUCCCAAUAUCCAUAAAGAUUCAAUGUAAAGUUACUUGAAAUAUAAUUAACUUUAUGUGUUAACUAAAAGAAAAUUGAAAGCAUAGAACCUUGGUUCUUGAAGCCACCAACUAAUUGGUUGAAGCUUAAGUCGAGAAUCUCCAGUUCUUUGAAAGGCAGAAACAAAGACGCAUUGAGAUACAAGUACUCUUCGACUGCAUUGAGACCCAAGUCCUCAUAAUUUACACCUGAAAGAUGUAGUUCGAUCACUCGGUUUGUGGUGUUGUCACACACAACCCUAUGCGGAUCCCAGUCACAGCAAUUAAAAUACUCUUUAUCCCAACCUUCUAGCUGAUCAUAGGACCCAGCUGCACGUGCAUGAUUGAACCAAGCUUUUAUCUCUAAGAGACUAACUCUCUCUUCCUCCACACAACAAUGGCUCCGGUCGUUGACGAAGGACAGUGCCAUGAGGAGCAUCCACACCCACAUUUCCCUCAUCUUCAUAACGCUCCACUUGACCACAUACAAAAGCAAGCAAGCAAGCUGUCUCUUAUAUACAAUUUAAUUUGUCCUCUUCAUGCGUUUGAUCAUAGGAUUUUCCCGUGAUAAACUUUUAGACUUUGGUGGUCUCCUCACGAUCUUUUUUCAGAGAAAUCUGCUUCUCAUUUGUAGUUUGCCAUCUUCCUACUGUCGCACUAGCUUUAAUGAUAUGUCCACUUGAUUAUUAUAAAAGAAAAAUAAAAAUACUCCACGUCCACUAUUGUCAGCUUUCGAGAACGCAUGCAGGACCCAGUUUAAUCUCAAUAUGGAUUUUUAUAAGCAAAUCUUAGAGAAACAGUUUCCUGCAUAAUUACUAGAAUUUUUUGGUUUGAUUUAAUUUGAUAUUAAUGAUUUUUCACCUUUUGUCUGAGAUCAAGUACCUAAUGAAACCUUGAAUGGAGCACCCAUUUGUACGCAUAUGCUUGACUUGAGGUCUGCCAUUUUGAUUUUAAAAUACCAUCAAGCAGUAAUUUCUUGGCGGUUUCCUUAUAGAAACUGGUGGUCUCCUCACGACCUUUUAAUUUAAAAAAAAACUCUUGUCGGAGCAUGAUUUAAAAGCUAGGAUUCAACCAGUAUCAGGGAAUGACUGUCAUCUUUUAAAGAAAUUUGAUCACCCACUUUCACUUGUUUUUCGUUGUGGACCUCCGUUGCGAAGUUGCAGUGAAACAAACUCGCAAUUGCAGCAGGUGCCUAAUAAUGAACAAGAAGAUAAUGGUUUCAUAGAUAAUAUUGGGGGAGCAAAUGAGCAAUUAUAAUAUUGGGGGGGAGCAAUUAUAUUGGGGGAGGGCCGGACCAAUUAUAUUGGGGGCCUUUAAAUUGAAAUCGUAAAAUCGGUCCUAAUAUCGUGAUUUUGCGCGAUAUCAUCCGUUUUUUGCGAUUUUACCUGAUUUCAACCUGAUUUUAUCCAUUUUCGAUUUUUUUAACCGAUUCAACUCGUAAUGCAUGUUUUGACUCGUAAAAUCGUACGAUUUUACGAGUCACGCGAUUUUGACAACCUUGGUGACGAUGGUGGAACUGAUGCGGUUGCAUAGCAGCACCAACCAGUACUUUAAUUUCCUAAUGAUUUCCUUGCGGAAGAAAUUAUGGCAUGUUGGAAAACGAUGCCACCCUAACAAUCCAAGAGCUCAAAUUCAACUUGAAUAAAAGCAUGAUAAAUGGAUAAUUUAGAGGAGAAAGGAUCCAAGAACAUCAUGAAACAGGGGAUUGUUAUAUUUUGUUACCCUAACAAUCCAAGAGCUCAAAUUCAACUUGAAUAAAAGCAUGAUAAUUUAGUGGAGAAAGGACCAAGAACAUCAUGAAACAGGGGAUUGUUCUAUUUUGUUAUGUAACAAUCUCAACAGCUAAUUAAGAGGUUAGAUUGUAGGGUCUAAUUUCAAAUGCAAGACUCUAUUGAUUCUCAUCAUUAUAGUAAUAAAACCAUGUGCAUUUUUAUUAAAUUAAGAGGAAACACAAAAUUAAACAAGAAAAUCUUCAGAGUUCAGAAAUAAAUCUAACAUUGCCGAACAGACUGUGAGCAAACCCAGAUUUGGUGGAAGAUAGAAAUAUGAAGAGAGAGCAGAAAUCUUAGAUAAUUCUAUGAAGAGAGAGCAGAAAUCUUAGAUAACAGUUUGUAGAAUAUUGUUGUUUGUUAUGUGAGUUUGGGCAACCAUAGGUCCUAUUUAUAACACGCUUUGUCCAUUUCCAUGACUUUUAUCUGCGUACCUGGUGCCGAUUCUAUGUUUUGAGAUGUUUUCUUUAUUUCAUUUCUUUUUUUAAUAGUUUUGGAUUCGAAUAUUAUUUCAUUUAUUUGUUUAGCCUUAGGUGUAUUUGGGAAUGUGUUUUUCGUUGUUUUUCAAAGUAGUUUUCACUUGGAAAUGUAUCAACAUGAUAUUGUUUGGCCUUAGGGUAUGUUUAGUAGUGUGGUUAGAUGUCUUAAUACGAACCUUGAAAACAUGGUCAAAACAAUAUUUUAUAAAAAUUUGAUUUUUUAUUAAAAUUAUUUUUUAUAUAUUUUUAGUUAGUUAUAAUGUAUUAAUAUCAAAAAUAAAUUUUAGAAAAUAAAAAAUAUAUUAUUUUGAUAUAUAUUCGAGCAAAAAUAUAUUUUAAAAAACAACCCUUAUUACAAUAAUGGUGAUUUCCUUAUGCAUACUAGCGGUCUUCAUUAAUAUUUCAAAAAAUCAUCAUUAAACCUGGUUUGGGGUUGACUAGGAAUAAGGCUGGGGUCAUGAUUUUUUUUAUUAGGUCACUAGAUUAACUUAGAUCAACUCCAAUAUAUAUAUAUAUAUAUAUAUUCAAGUCAAGCUAAGCAUUAACCGAGUCACUUAGAUUUUUCCCUUUUUCAAUUUUUUUAAACUUGUCCCGGUUUUGAUCCUCAAUCAAAUGGGUUUCAUCUUGAUUUAUCUAUAUGUUAAAUUACUUGAUUAACUAAAUUAAUUCUGUAAUAUUGAAUUAUUUGAUGAAAACAUUAUCUAAAACAUGAUUAAUCUUACUUUUAAUAUUAAAAAUUAUGUUUCAACAUAAACUCUUUAAUGUAAAAAUUUAACAUAAUUAAAAUAAAUAGUGAUUACCGUUUCAGCAAUUGAUUUGAUCUUGGCCUUACAAUUAUUUUCAUUAGUCUGUUAAUGUUUUUCUUCAAGCUUAUGGAAAGGGAGGUUUCUCCAACUUGUUGUGUAAGCUCCUUUGCUUUUUGUUUUUCAUAGACUUGGGAAGUCAUUUGUCUCUUAUAACACAAUAAUUGAUGUGUGAAACAACAUCGUUUUAUAUGGAAAAAAAAUAAAGAGUUAACCGAGUAUUUAUUCAAGUCAUGCCAAUCAUUAACCGAGUCAUUUGGAUUUUUUUUCCUUUUUUAUUUUGUAAACUCGACCUUGUUUUGGGCUCCGUUUGUUUGCAGGAAAGUGGUUUCCUUUUGGAAAGUGAAUUCCGGGGAAAGUGAAUUUCUGAAAAGUGAAUUCCGGGAAAGUAUUUUCCGAUGUUUGGUAGUGUUAUGGAAAAUGAACUGGAAAAUAAUUUAUUAAUGAAUUAAAUUUUUUUUCAAGUUUAUCUAAUAUAUAUAAAAUAUUUAAUCACUUACAAUUGUCAUAACCCAAUUUUUGACCCUUUUUUAUUUUUAUUAUUUUAAAAAAAAAGAUGAUGAAAAAUAAAAAUAAAAUAAAUGAAGAAUGAAUUAAAAUUUGGGUUAAGGGCAACAUGAUUGGAAGUUUAAAGAUUUAAUUAAACUCUUGACUAGUUUAAUUAAUUAAAUCAAGGUUUUAAUUGGAGAAUUGAUUUAAUUAAAAUUUAGAUUAUUUUAAUUAAUGAAAUCAAGAGUUUAAUUGAAGAAUUAAUGAGUUUGAGGACUUAAUUAUACUUUGAUUUAAUCAAAAAUCCAGGACUGUUGUGUAAAUGGCGCUAUAACUCAAGGAUUCAAUUGAAUUUAAUCCAAGGGCACAAUUAGAAAUCAAUUAUUUCUGAUUAGGGUCCCAAUUGUUAAGUUUACACUGUCUAGGGACUAAAUUGAAAAACAGCCAUGCCCAAGGACACAACGGCGCCGUUUUGGAAGCAUUGUUCAUCGUCUCCUACGCUUGCGCGGAUGAAGCCUUGUUCAACAGGGAAAUCUGCUGCAACAAAUCCGGUCAUGGACCAUAUCUCUUGCCCACGAUCUCGUUCGUGGAUUCCAUAACAGUCCUGCAAAUGUAGGACUGGUUGAGGGGAAGCUUCUCUAUAAAAGGGGGGACGCAAGCACACCAGGAAAAAAAACCCAUCAUAAACAGAAGAAAAACUCGGGGAAGAGGCCAGCAACCAAAAACCAGGAACGAGUGACCGAAGACCAGAACGAAACAGAGGCAGAAGACGCAAGAGGAGGAAGAACAACAGGUGACGAACAGAGAGGAGAGGAAUUAAAGGGAGCCGAAAAUCAAAGAAAAAACCCAGAAUAACAGAGAAGCAAACGAAACAGAACCAGAAGAGUAGAGGAAAAGCAGAAACAUAAAGCCUGCCAAUCAUCGUCUUCACCACAGCACCUGAACCAGCAAAACAGAGGAAGAAGGGCAGGGGAAACAGGCCAAGAACCAUAAAAAAUGGAGGACGAACAGUGACAAUAAAAAAAAGAACCACCCGAGAGAACCGGCUUCGUCUUCAUCUUCAGGAGCAGCAGACCACAUGUAAUCUUCCCUUUGCAUUUUAAUUCACUGCUACAAUAGCAGUGAAUUAUAAUUCACUUGCUACUGUAGCAAGUAAAUAAUAAUUCAUUGGCCCAGCUGUAUUCUCAUUGAACAGCUGAGGGUAUGUAGAAAAAAGGAAAGUGUUUUUUUUUCUUUACAUAAGAAAAACAUUUCCCUUUAGCAACGUUAUUAUUUUUAGGUUGACUGGAAUUCAUUUUUCUUUGAUUAUUUUCCCUUUCUUGUCAUCAAACAUAGAAAAAGCAGGAAAGUAAAUUCCAAGAAUUCACUUUACUGCAAUCAAACACGGCCUUGAUCCUCAAUCAAACGGGUCUCAUCUCGAUUUUAUAAAAACUAUCCAAUGAUGUUGAUUCGAGGAUGUUCACAAGCUUUUCGCUGUUGGAAGUUUGCAAGCGAAUCUCGUUUUUACCAUCCAAAAAAACUUCUUUUGUACAUCUUCUCACAUGUCAAGGCACAUUUUGAUUAGGGAGACCGUAUAACUUUAUUUCGUUCAAUUUAUGCUGUUUGACAUAUAAAUAUUGUUCAAUGUAAAUCAACUUUUCAUUGUUUUCAAAAAAAUUUCACCUAGUUUAAAUCGAAACAAAUGCUUGCCAGUAGUUAAUAUUAAUUGAGAUAUGUGUUUGGGAGUGUGAAGUGAAGUGAUUAUAUUUUAUUUAAAAAUAAAAAUAAAAUUUUUUUGACACGCAACCGCCGCGAUUAAGUAAAAAAAAAAAAUAGCGCGAAAAGUGCCAAAGGCCCAAAUGUACGCCAAUUUGCAAUGGCAAGUCCCGUAAUUAUUUCAAAAUCAAAUGUGAAAAAUUGAAAGUCACAAGAAGGCAUGAAAAUAUCCUCUUAUUUGAACUUUUAUCUCGUUUAUAUCCUUUUACUCUUUUCUUCAUGUAUAGACAUGGAAAGUCAUGUUCUGAUUUGUUCCUGUGGAAUCAAAAAAUUUCUUCCUCAAUUUUUUUUAUGGAAUGAAGUGAUUUCCCGGUAGCUUCACCAUCCACUUGCAAUUUAUAUAUAUAUAUAUAUAUAUAUAUAUAUAUAUAACUGCCAAAGAAAAAAAUGCAUUGAUUAAAAUAUUGAUGUGUUUGAAUGAAGAAAGUCAGGGCAGAGAUGACCAACAAAAACCACCGUGUGGGCCAAUAAAAUGAAAAUAAAAGACAAUAUCAAUGGCUUGCAAUAAAACAGUGUUUGUUUUAUGUUAAAUUACUUGAUUAACUAAACUUAAUCUUGUAAUAUUGAAUUAUUUGAUGAAAACAUUAUCUAAAACAUGAUCAAUUGAUAUAUCUAAAGUCAAAUAAAAAGUUUAUACUAUACUUUGCCAUUUUCAUGAUUUUAUCUGCAUAUAUUGUUCAGUUUCCAUGAUUUUAUCUGGGAGGAGUCAAUUUAAGUUAUUUGCAUGCCACUUUCUCAGCAAUUGUUGUCCUAUUUUGUGCUAAAUGUCGGGUGUAUAUUAAAUUAGUCAAAAGUUGCAUAACCCGCUUUCUCCAUUACUGUUCUGUAACAAUAUUUUGAUAGCCCUUUAGCAUUAAUACUAUUUAAUUUGUCCUCUUCAUGCGUUUGAUCGGACAGUGACAAUUAUCUGUAUCAUUGAAUUUUCUAUGCUGAAUUAAUUAUCCAAGGGAGACUUGGGCUUCAUUGAAUGGGAGAAUCUUCACGGACAGUGCUAGCCAGGGGACCGCACCACGGCACAGAUCACUCGGUUUGUGGUGUUGGAUUAGGGUGUUUGGGAGUGUGGUAGCGGUUGCUUUUCAAAUAGCUUUUCGUGCCGAAAAGCAUGCCAAUAAUGUUUUUUUAUUUUUUAAAAAUCAUUUUUGACAUCAGCACAUCAAAACGAUCCAAAAAGUACAAACCGCACUCAAUUUUAACAAAAAUAAAUAAAUAAAAAAUUUUUGAAUUUUUUCAAAAAACCGGUUUGGCCGCAUUGCCAAACAAACCGGUUUGUGGUGUUGGAUUAAAGGAUAUUCCAACUUCUUGUUUACUGCUUUACUUUUCUUCAUAGACUUGGGAAGUCAAGAUUCCUAUAAUCCACAUCAUCAAAAUAAAUUUUAAUUAUUUGAGCGAUUCAUUUGAUAUUAACCCCACAAUUAUUUUAAUUAGUCUGUUAAUGUUUUUCUUCAAGCUUGUGGAGCCGCAUGUUCACCAACUAUUUUGUUUUUUUUUUCUUUGUAUAUUUAAAAAGUCAUUUAAUUUAAGUUUUUAUGGUAAUUUAUUUUUGUGUUUUAAAAGUAUUUUUAAAUAAAUUUAAUUUUUUUUAUUUUUUAUUAACUUCAAAUUAAUAUAGUUUUAGUAUUUUUAAAUUAUUUUGAUGUGCUGAUAUUAAAAAUAAUUUUUAAAAAAUAAAAAAAUAUUAUUAAUAUAUAUUUUAAUAUAAAAAAUUAUUUAAAAAACAACCACAAUUAGAUGUUGUAGUGCUUGUUUUUAUUCUUCGUAGACCUAUGAAGUCAAAAUUCCCAAUUAUCCACUGCAUCAAUCUCUAUCCCAUUAAAAUGAAUUUGGUGCAAGAAAAUGAAUUUUAAUAUUAUUAAUAUAUAUUUUUUAAAAAAUAUAGCGUAUAAAAAAGGAAAUCCUGUAUCAUAUCUUUCACAAAUCUUAAAUAAUUAAUGAGAAAGCAGAACAAGGAUAAAACAACAUUGUUUUUUAUAUAUAAAAAAUAAAUAAUUAAUAGAUUGCAAUUAGGUAUUUAUUCAAGUCAGGCCAACUAUUAACCGAGUCACUUGGAUUUCUCAUUAUGCAUAUUUAAGAUUGCUAAAAAAAAAAAAUUAGUUUAAUUUCACAUAUAAGCUAAUUCGAUAACACUUUUUAAUAUAAAACCAAAAAAAAUGAGUGCUAUCGUCAUCAACUUUAUUUGGUUUAAAUUUAUGACGUUUGACAUAUAAAUUCUAUUCAAUUUAAAUCAACUUUUCAAUAAAUAGUUAAUGUUAAUGAGCACAGUAGCGAGAACUAAGCAGUGUUAUGUGUAUUUGGGACUGUGAAUACUGUACACUUUGGCUCUCUUCAUAGAGUCAAUUGACUUUCACACGUAGGGCAUGUUUGUUUCCCGAAAAACAGUUUUCGGGAAACCAUUUUCCAAACUUUCCUGUGUUUGUUUGUUAUUAGGAAAGUUGGUCAACGGAAAAUACAUUUCGGUCAACGGAAAACACUUUAUAGUCAACGGAAAACACUUUCCAGUCAAAGAAAAAUUUGACUUGGUUUUCAGGAAAGUGUUUUCCCUUUAGCUGUGUUUGUUUUCCGGAAAGUGGUUUCCGGAAAAUCACUUUCCAAUCCGGUCAACGGAAAACACUUUCCAGUCAAAGAAAAAUUUGACUUGGUUUUCAGGAAAGUGUUUUCCCUUUAGUUGUGUUUGUUUUUCGGAAAGUGAUUUCCGGGAAAUCACUUUCCAAACUUUCUUUUGUUUGUUUGCUAGUAGGAAAGUUGUUCAAUGGAAAACACUUUCCAGUAAAAUGAAAGUUUGGCUUGGUUUUCAGGAAAGUUUUUUCCUGAAAAAUUUGAGGGGAAAACACUUUCCGGAAGUUGUGAAAAAUUUAGAAAUAUCAUUAUUUGUUGAUUAUAUCAAAUUUGAUCCUCAAACUUUUGAUUGCUAUAUAUAUAUAUAUAUAUAUAUAUAUUGAGUAUUUAUUUUUCAAUUUCAUCUCUUAAAAUUUUAUUUUUAUAUUAACUUUGGUCUUUAUUUUUAUAUUUGCUUUUUGCUUUUUCCUUAUCAUUUUUUUAUUGAAAUUUUGUAUCUAUCAAAUUUGGUCUUCAUUCUUUUGAUUGUUACUUAUUUUAUUUGAAACAAUUUAUAAAAUGUUGAUUAUUAUUAUUUUAAUUUCUUCAUCUUUUUUUUAAUUUUUUAGAUUUGAUCUCUAUUAUUUUGAUUAUUAUUUAUUUUAUUUGAGAUAAUUUAUGAAAUUAUUUUUUUUUUUCAAUUUCAUUCUCAUUCAACUUUUUAAUUUAUAAGAUUUGUUUCUCAUUAUUUUAAUACACUUGAGAAAAAUAAAAUAUUAAUAAGUUAUUUUCCAGCUCAUUUUCCAUGACAUAACCAAACACUGGAAAGUGUUUUCCAACUCAUUUUCCAUUACACUACCAAACAUCGGAAAAUACUUUCUCGGAAUUCACUUUCCUCAGAAUUCACUUUCCAAAAGGAAACUACUUUCCAGCAAACAAACGGAGCCGUAGUAAAAAUGAAAAACAAAUUACUCCGUGGAUUGGUGAUUAAACUACAAUACUAAAUAUACCCCCUGAUCUGUGGAUUUGUGAUUAAACUUGGAAAAAAACAACAAUACUCUAAAAAGCCAUAUGUGAAUUUGUGAUGAAGAAAAUUCAUUAUUUUUAUUUUUUUUUGACAUAUUAGGUUCCACUAGAUGCACCAAGUCAAUGUGAGUGGUUGUCUUUUUUCUUAUUUAUGAGAAUCCAAUAGAGGCAUCAAGUCUAGGGCUCCACAAUGUCUGCCACUAGUCAAUUUCCUCCAACUUGUUGUGUAAAUUACUUUGUUUUCUCUUCAUAUAUAGACAUGGAAAGUCACGUGAUCUAAUGGAAUACAAAAAUUUCUUCCUCAACUCUUUUCAUGGAAUGAAGUGAUUUCCCGGUAGCUUCAUCAUCCACUUGCACUUUUUUUUCUCCGUAGACUUGUGAAGUCGGUCAAGAUUCCCAAUAUAUUAUCAACAUCAUCAAUUUAAAAAAGAAAUAUAUGUUAGGCUGAUUUACUUUCAUAUUAAUUAUUGUUUGAAUAUUCUUCAUCUGAAUGAUAUUAGUCCAUUCAAAACAAAUUCAUUUUCUUUUUUAUAAAUAUAUUUAUAUAACUACCAAAGAAGAAAAUGCAUUGAUUAAAAUAUUAUUGAUGUGUUUGAAUGAAGAAAGUUAGGGCAGCGAUGACCAACAUAAACACCGUGUGAGCCAAUAAAAUUGAAAACAAAAGACAAUAUCAAUGGAUUGCAAAAAAAAAAAAGUUUUAUGUUAAAUUUAUCUAUAUGUUAAAUUACUUGAUUAACUAAACUUAAUCAUUUAAUAUUGAAUUACUUGAUGAAAACAUUACCUAAAAUAUAAUUAAUUGACAUAUUUAAAGUCAAAUAAAAAACAAACCCCGCUUAUUUUUAAUAUUAAAUAUUAUUUUUUAAUAUAAAUUCUUCAACAUGAAAAAUUAACAAAAUUUAAAUAAAUUGUGAUUACUGUUUGAGCGAUUGAUUUGAUCUUGGACCCAUAAUUAUUUUCGUUAGUCUGUUAAUGUUUUUCUUCAAGCUUGUGAAAUUGUUACCCAUGUAAAUGCUAUGUUUCUCUUUAGAUUUUUUCCUACCCUUGAAACUGUUAUGAACAUAAGUAAAAGAGAUGAAAACUCCUUUACCCACGUAUCGAGUGUCGCACGUGUACGACAGCGCGACGAAUCGUCCACCCUCAAAUGAAAAAAAAUCGGAAUAUUUAUUCCUGGAAAAUAGUCAGAGACAAGGAAUUCUUGUCUCUACAAGUAAAAAUAUGGACUGGGAGACUGGUUACUAGGAACUUUAACUGGUCUUUAGAGAUCGGGUACGGAGACUGGUUACGUAAAAGAAAGGUAUAAGCACCCCAAUUACACCCUACCUAAGGUAGGCUGCAUUGUUUUAAUGUCUGAUAACAUCUAAGGUCGUGUUUGUGGAUUUUAAUAUUAUUGUUCGGAAUACGCAUUACAUGUAAUGUCAUAUCCCAAGUUCUAUUAAAAAAAAAUUAAAUAUCCGGAAUAUGUAUUGUGUAUAAUGUAUAAUGUCAUACCCCGGAUAUUAAAAGAUAAACAAAAUAAAAUUUUUGUUGUUUUUUUGAAAUUUUGGCCAAUAUUCUCUUGACUUUAAUAAACUGGUUAUUAAAGCCAAAAUGCAUGCUAAAACAUUGUUUUUCUCUUUUUUUUAAUUUGUUUUUGUAUUCUUGAAAGUCGAAAACCGGGUAUUUCAGUACCAGAUUUGUAUUUUACGACAUAAAAAUAUUGCCCGAUAUUAAUCAAAAUGACAUAAAAACUACGCGGAAAAAUUAUAAAAUGCUGAAACAAAUAUUUUUGAUUUUUUUUUGAAUGGGCCGGGUGAACAGUAUCGUGUGAACAGUAAUGAAUACGGGGUAUUUUAAUACCAGAUUUAUAUUUUUACGAUGUAAAAUACAGACGAUAUUAAGCAAAAUGAUAGAAGAAAACGUGCUUUUUUAAAAAUAUGUAUAUAUAUAUAUAUAUAUAUAUAACUUAUAACAAAAAAAUAAAAAUAAAUAAAUAAAUAACUGGCCGGACCCGACCCAAAUGCAUGGGCCGGGCCGACCAAGCCUAUUUACAUGGGCUGGGCCAAAGGCCCAAACGGGCUGGUUACUGUGCAUCAGCACAGUAACCAGCCCUUCCUUAUUUGCAGAACGUGAAAUAAUUCACGUUCUGCAUGAAGGCACAGCGGAUAACAAAGGGAGGCAGAGGCGGGGCAACAGGAUGGCGUACCUGCGGUGGCGUCGAGGCGGUGCGGCUGGCGGCGGAGGCACGGUGGCCGGCGGAGGCACGGUAGCCGGCGGUUUUCCUUCUCUCUCUCUCCUCUGUUUUUGUUCUCUUCUCUGCCGAUUCUCUUUCUUCUUCUUUUUUCUUUUUCUUUCUGUUUCUCUCGUCUCUCUCUACCCUCUUUCUGUCGUGCAAUCCUUCUCCUUCUCCCCCUCUUUUUUUUUCUUCUCUGCUUCGGUCCCCUUCCACUGUUUUUAUAGGAAAAAAUAGGGGGGCCGAAUGGUGGGGCGGCUUGGCCGCCCCUCCACUAUCCGUUCAAAAGGAGGCAAGUGGGGGUCGAAUGGUAGGCGUCUUAUUGCGCCAAAUCCGGGAAAGAAGUUCGGCGAAAAGUGGAGAAGAAAAAAACUCUUCUCCCUUGUUCUCUGCGUGCGCAGGGAAGAAGACGAUGGUGUCGUUUCAAAACAGCACCGUUUUACGUUUUCUCUCUCUUUUUUUUUUAAAAUAAACAGUGCAUGAAACGACGUCGUUUUGGUCAAAACACGCCGUUUCAUUUAAAAGGAAAAGGCGGUAAAACACGUCAGAUUCAAAUUUAGUCCAUCAAUUUGCGCGCGUUUUACGAUUUCGUCCUUGGUCUCGGAUUUCUGAAAUUAAGUCCUUAAUUGACCAUUAAACUUCAUUCUUUAUGCAAUUAAGCCCCUGAUUUGACCAAAUUAACUUUCAAAAAUUAUAAGUUGACACCAGAACUUUAAUUUCUUCCAAUUCAAGCCCAAAAUAACUCCAAAAUCAAUUGUUUUUGCAAUUAAAACCUCUAUAAAUUCAAUUAAACCUUCAAUAAAAUUUAAUUGAGUCCAUAAACUUCUAAUUUUGCAUUUUUCUUCCUCAAAUUGAAUUUUCUUUAUCAUCGAGGCUCUCAUCAGUCAAUGAUAUACUGUCAGAAAUGAAAUUUUAUUUGUUUGAACAUCCUCAAUCAAUUUUUGAGCAUUUUUAGGGCACUCUGACAUUUUUUUUUUACUGUUAUAUUUUUUGAUAAUAUAUUUUUUUGAAUUGUUUUGUAUUUUUUAGGUGAGGACUCAAAAAUGGGUUACAACAUCGAGCAUACCCUAGUUACAUAACACUAGUUAAAUCUUGACAUAACAGUUCAAGUUAAUUAAUGGCUAGGAUUUUGUUUAGUGGAUUUGUUUUUUGAAAUUAAAUAUCAUAUCAAUAAACAAAUAGCAACUAAAAAUGUAACUAAAAAUAGCAAUAUUUGUUUAAAUAUCAUAUCAAUAAACAAAUGUAACUAAAAAUGUAACUACUAAAAUAGAUAUUUUAUUUUGUUAAUUUUAUUUGAAAAAGCUUUUGAACAUAAGGACUCCAUAUUUUUUUUUUUAUGAUUACUAUAUUGGAUAGGCUUAAUGCCCCGGUAAUAACCAGGAUAGGAGGCCGACUUAAUUAGAGUUGAUAGGGCACAAAUAUAUAUAUAAUGUGCUCCGAUUAAUACAAAAUUAAUUAUAAUAAUAAUUAGGGUUUGUUCUUUUAUUCAGUUUCUUGUUAUCUAUUUUUGGGUUCUCUCACAAAAAAAAUUGCAAGAAAACAAAAAAUAUGAACAAUUGAUUUGAUCUUAUGAAAUACAUGGCAGAAGAGAUUAGAAAAUGAUUUCCAUUUGUCAGAAAUACACCCCAAUAGUCUUAAUUUGAAUUGCACUUUGCACUCCUUUUCCAGCGAUCAAUAGCUAGGAAACCUGUCAGUGAAAUCUUUAUUAUUUGCUCCGGGUUGCUGCUGCUGGUUACUCUGUCACGGAUUAUUAUUUUUCAGUAGUCAGUUAUCCUAGUGCUUGCUUGGACAUGCUCAACAAUGGAGUUCCUCUAAAUGUAAUUACCAAAGUGAAAUCUUCUGUCAAAGUCAUUUCAAGCCGGAAAAGAUCAGGAAAAAGAAGUCUUGAAACAUCAAGCGAAUAGAGCCCAGCAGGAAAAAUUCGUUUCUGACGGUGAGAUUUGUAAUGUGAUCCUAGAUACAAUCUCAUCUCGAUUAGACUCCAGUACUGGAGGAUGUGAUUGCUGAUAUAAAAAAUAAAUAAAUAAAAACACUUAUAUGUUAUUUCUCAGUUCAAAUCUGGUGAUGAGAUUCAUACAGAAGGACUCGUGGCACGGCUGAAGCAGAUCCAAGGUCAAUACUUGAGGAAAAUCUUGGAACCAUUCCAGCUACUAUUAUUUUUUCCAACUAUUAGAUCUUAACAUCAACAGUCAAUAUCGUUGAAAAAAUCAACAUUGAAGCCAUACAAAUUCACGUAAGGGACACACAAACCCCACAAGAAAGAAAGGAAAAGGGCCUCACAAGAAGUAAAUAAAAUCUCACAAUGAGUAAGAAAACCAAACAUAUUGUAGAAUAAAAGUAAGGCAUUGGAUUGAUCGUUCAUUAGCCGUUCAUGAUCAUGAAUCAAAUCAUUACAUAAAUCAUCACCCACGCAAGUAAAAUAAAAAUCAAGGCUUUGGAGAUUGCUUAACCUUUCCAACAGCGUUGCUGUUUCGAUCGGUAGGCUUGAUACUUUUAGUUUUAUCUAUGUUAACACUAUAGGUAAUUAAGAGUUUAUUUGGUAAUGUGGUUACGGUUAUUUUUUAAAUAAUUUUUUGUAUUAAAAUACAUGUCAAUGAUAUUUUGACAUCAGCACAUCAAAAUAAUUUGAAAACACGAAAAACAUAUUAAUUUAAAGUUAAUAAAAAAUUAAAAAAAUUCAAUGAUAUUUUGAUAUUAGCACAUCAAAAUGAUUUGAAAACACGAAAAACAUAUUAAUUUGAAGUUAAUAAAAAUUUAAAAAAAUUUAAAUUUUUAAAAAUAUUUUUAAAAUAUAAAAAGAAACAGGCUCAACCGCGGAAAGUCUUGCAAAACAAAGCAUGUAUAGGGAGGGUGGCAGACACGUAGCUUCGCUGUGAUUUCUUGACAUUAUAUUUUUUAUUGAUUUGUUUUUUUGUAUUUUAUUAUUUUUUAUGCGGACACCCAAAAAUGAGUUACAACAUUAUUUGAGAAUAGACAAAAAAAAAUUUUUAAUUCAGUUAUAGGAUGAUGAAUUCUCUCUUGGUCAUUCAAAUAUCUUCAUAUAGUUUACAUUAUACCUAAUAUUUACUUAUUUUUUACCAUUGAUUAGAAUAAUAUGUAAUCAGGAUCAAAACAUAACACUCCCUAAAUAAAAUAACUUGGUGAUCUCAAGUCCUUUAAUCUUUGGUGCUUCCCUGAAGGUAGAGUUUCAUCUAUGGCUUUUAAUCUUGAAUAAAUUGCCUAAAAAAAAAAAGACUAAAACUGUGAAUUAUAUUUUACUUUAUCAUAAGAUGGUUUAGAAGUUAUGAUAUCGGGUGACAAAAUAGUUGGGACAAUAGUUGAUCUUGCCUCAAUCUUUGGAUGACGUCUUCUUAUUAUGGAAUGGCAUGGUAUAGGGAUUUAUGACAAAAAAAAAGUGGUGUUUAUUCUUCUCUGGUAUAGUUUAGUCUAUUUAGAAUACCUGUAAUAAUAUAAUUUUUAAUGAGAAAGAAACAAAUUAGAAUGGGAUAUAUUAUUUCUUUUUUAAUUGGGCUGUUAUUUGAGCGAAAUAUAAAGAUUUAGAGCUUUUUCUAUACUAGGUUAGAUUUAAUUUGUUCAUCAAAUUAUUUUUUUAUAUGGACUAAAAAUAUAAAUAUGAGAAUUGAUUCUCCAAUAUUAACGCAUCUUCAAAUGACAAAACAGGGUCUUUAAGAAUUGGUGGUGUUUUUAGUGAUAAUGAAGGAAGAUUCCUUUGUAUUUUUUUCUUGUUCAACAGGUAAUAUAGAAUCUAUUGAAAUUGAGGUCUUGUUAAUUUGAAAAGCUAUGAUUGCUACUAUGUUAUUAAUUGAUGAGUUAGAUUCUUACGAUGUCGUUACACGUCAUAAUUAAAGCAUAAAAUGUCGUGCACGCCGAUGCUUGACUUGCGGUUUUCCAUUUUGAUUUUUAAAUACCAGAAAACAGUAAUUUCCUUAUAGAAACUGGUGGUCUCCUCACGACAUUUUUUUCAAAUAACUGUUGUCAGAAAAUGACUAUCCUCAUUAACAGUAAUUUAUUAAUUUUUUUUAAUAUACUUUGUUCAUGUGAGGUUGUGUUUUCAAAAUCUUCCAAGAAAAAAAGGGACUAAAUGAUGAACCAAAUUGAAUUUCACGCUCCUAAUUUAAUAAAUUAAAAUUUUCAAGCUCUAAAGUUAUAUCCUUAGCACCAUACUCUAUUAAGGAAAAGCUCUAAUAUUUUUAUCAAAAGUUUAUAAUUUAAUAAUCCAAUCUUAAAACAAUACUUUAAUUGUUGAUAUAAAAAUUUAAAACUGAUCUAAUCAAAAGAGUUCAAAACUAAAUGGAAAAAAUAAUUAAAAUAUAAAACUAACUAGAAAAGUAAUUAAAAUAACAAAAAUAAAAUCUUUUGAGCUUAAUUUGAAAAGAUUUGUGUGGUGGAUGUUCAAACAUAUAGUUUUGAAACCCGAUCCGGUGAUCGACCCGGUUUAAUGAUCGGGUCACGGGUCCAAUGGGUUGACCCGGGUUAAUCCAGGUCAACCUAAAAAAAAAAAAAAAAAACUAAUUAAAGGGCAUUUUAUGAAUCAGGGGCAGGGCCGGGCGGUUAAAGAGGAAGAGCUUAUAUAGGCUCCAUUGCUAAAUUAACCUAAUGAGGUGAAAUUUAUCUUCCCCUCCAAUUUGAAAAUAUUUUGAUUGAGUUCAGGGCACAGAGCCCUAGACAAUGAAAAUUAGUAUUCCCCUCCUAUUCAACUUGAGAAGAAUCUUGUCCUCACCUAAAGCAUCUCCUACAUUCCAAAGGCUAGAAGUCUGCUUUCUUCGUAUUUGAGCAUCUUUGCCUCUUUUACUCUGAAUAGAGAAGGAGCUGCUCUAGAAUGCCCUCUUUUGAGGUGCAGAUGAGGUGGAGGAAUCGGUUGUGCACAGUUCCUACUGGGAGGUAUAGUAAAGAAGGUAUAAUCAAUUGGUUUUUCAAACUGUAGCAUAGACACUUGUUUGCCACAGUGGGGGUAGGUACUUUUAGUAAUGAUGAAGAUGAAGAUUUCAGAUGAGGAUUUGGAGAGGCCAUUGGCCAUUUCAGAUGAAGAUUUCAGCCGGGUUUCAGCUGGGUUUACCCGGGUCAACCAGGUUUCGGGUCGACCCGCCGGGUCUACGGGGUUUCACCGGGCCAACUCCCAAGCUAGUUUUUUCUUAGACCCAGACCGGUCCUAGGCCAGGUCGGCUGGGUCCCGGGUCGACCCGUUGGGCCGGUCCGGGUUUCAAAGUGUUUUUCGUUGACUAGAAAGUAUUUUCCGUUAACUAACUUUUCUAAUGAUAAACAAAUACAGGAAAGUUUGAAAAAUGGUUUCCCAGAAAUUAGUUUCCGGGAAACAAACAUGGCCUUAGUAGACCUAGGAAGUCAAGUUUUCUAAUUAUCCACGUCAUCAAUCUCGAUCCCAUCAAAAAUUAAUUUGGUCGAAGAAAGAAAAAAAAAAUUAUCAAUUAUUUUCAAGCUUGUGGAACGGGUGUUCCUCCAUUUUCUUGUUUAACUGUUUUCUUUGCAGACUUGGGAAGUCAUAUGUUAUGAACAAUUGAUUUGAUCUUGUAAAAUUUAUGGCAGAAGAGAUUAGAAAAUGACUUCUUCUUUCAAUAAUCUUCUUCUUUGUGAAAUGAUUUCCCGAUACAGCUCUUAAUUUCAACACCUGCUUGCUCUUCUUUUCUUAGUAGACCUGGGAAGUCAAGAUUCCUAAAUAUCCACAUCAUCAACCUCGACCCCAUCAACAAUAGUGCCCACCAGGAAAAAUUAGUUUCUGACGGUGAGAUUUGUAUAGCUAGUAAACAUGCUCAACCAAUAAUCAUAAAUGAUGCCAAAAUUGUAGUCAAAGAGACUUGGAACUCCCUGAUGAUGGUCUCUAGCUCUGGAGGUUUAUUCUGCCAAAAUUGCAUGGGCCGUUUUACAGCCUUCGUAAUGGGCUUGGCUACUUUGGGUAAUUAAAAAAACCCAAAUCGAUAAUGUUUUUUUUUUCCUUCGGUAUCCGUUUAAUCAAUCUUCUGGUUUGAUCCUUGAUAGUGCUGUGUUUUGAUGCUUGUCGAUUAGCCACAAUAAUGUUAAAUUUACAAGGACAGGUCCAAGAAAAGCAAUGCAGGCCUGUAUUGGUCUCUGGGAGUCCGCUGAUAAAGGCUGCAAUCAUUGCUUGAACCCUUGUAAAGGGGCCUUUACACAUGAGGUCCACUGAAGAAGUACAACACCGUUUUUUAUUUAAUUCUUAUGGUUUAAAUCUACUAAUAACUUAGUCAUUUUGCAUGCUAUUUUCCACUUGUUUUGUAAAAUAGAGAAAAGAACAAAGUAAAUCUUUUUUUUUAGUUUAUGGCAUGUUCUCAAAAGUUUUAUUGAUAUUAAUUAAAUAACAAAGACAUUGAUGUAGCUGAAAAUUGAGAACGAGAGGGAUGAUCAGGAAUGGAUUAAGCAAAUUGGGCUUGAAAAAGACCCAACAGCAGAGAAAAAUCUGAAAUAAACUCUUGAUGUUCAAAAUAGCCCACAAGCAAGGCUUAAAUAGUUAGGGCUGAGAAAAUUACCAAAAUAGGUAAAUACUGAUUAUUCAAUAAAUAUAGAAACUUCCUGGAAUAAGUUUGAUAUCCUUUAAUUUUUUUACCGUCUUAGAACAGUUUAUCCUGUUCGAUUCCGCUUUGCUUCGACCGACCACAAUGAUCCCAUAUCCAUCUAUACAAAAAUCGAUUAAGCUGUCCGUUGACACAUUAACUUCUCUGGCUCCAUUCCAUCCUGGAUUAGCAAUCUUUCCCGGAUCAUUUAUGCCCGUUAGAACUGUUAAGCAUGUUGGAUAUUUUGCAUAAUAAGCUCUCGGGUCCUUUAUCCUCUUGUUUGUCCAAUUUAACUUUCAUGGCAAACGAUGCAAAAUGCUAUCUAUCUUUUUUUUGUUUUUUAACUCUGGGUGUCCGGGUCAGUUUACGCGCACCACAACUAAUCUCAGGACCUACUGAACAUCCUGCAAGCUCAGUAGGCAAAUAAAGUACCGCCGGGGUGACAGACUGGUGCACAGCGAGGAUCGAACUCGGGCAAUUGACCACUGAGUUAAACCCUCAAGUGUCAGCCCUACAACUUGGCCUAGUAUUCAAUAUUUUGAUAAGUCAAAUCUUGUACUCAGAGGCGCAACUAAGGGGUGGCAAGUAGGGUCGGGCCCUGCAACCACCCCUACAAAAUAUUUUAGAAUUUAUUUUUAUUUCGUUAGUUAUUUAUAAAUUUAAAAUUGCCUCUUCGUAUAAGUUGGAAAAAAUAAAAGAUAAAUAAUUUUUUCAAUUUAAUUACUUUUCUUUAUUGUUUUUUUAUUUCCAUUCUCUAAAAUCCUAACCAAAAAAAUAUAAUAAUACAAAGCAAAAAGAAAAAGUUAAAACAAAGUUAUCAAUUAAUUCAUUGUUCAUUGAAACAAGAUAAUUAAUGACCCAAAUUUAAAAUCUUUUGUUUUUUUUGUUUGUUAAGAAUUUGCUUAGAUGUAUAUAUAUAUAAUUAUGCUUCUUUUUUUUAUAGAUCUACUAGGUUUAUCAUUUUUUUAUUUCUUGCUAUAGUGAAUGUUGUUUUUUUGUAAUGAAUUGGAUAUAUUUUAUGGGUUUAUUUUGAUUAUACAUAUAUAUUUUUUUGUUUUGUUUUUAGCAGAAUCGUUAAAAUUAUCAAUUUUUUUCUCACAUAUACCUUACUAUCACCAGAUCCAAUAUAUAAUUAGACACGAUUUUUCUAGCCAAAUUAAGUUCUUUGAAAAACACAUGCCUAGUUUUAAUUCAAUUUAAGUUUUCUUUUUUAGAAAUCAAUAAUUUCAUUUUUUAUGUUAGAUUUGUUUUUAUAUAUCUUUUUUUUUAAUAUGUUGAUUUUGCUUUUAUAAGCCAAUAUGGUUUACAUGUAACAAAUUAUAUUUUAUUAUAUUAGUUUUGACCCUUCCUGUUAAAUAAUCUCAGCUACGCCCCUGCUUGUACUGAUGGGUUUGCCUCAAGUAGGCUAUUCUUAUCGUGAAAAUAAGUUCACAAACAACAUUGCAGAUUAAUCUGUCGAGUUCUCAACAAAAAGACAGUCUUACUCCUAUCGAGAUGAUCUUCUUCCUUUCAUGUCUGGUAUUGAUUUUUCUUACAACGGAUUCACUGGCAAAAUCCAACCAAAUUUUGAAAUUGUAAGUGAGCUACGAGCGGUAAAUCUAUCACACAUUAAUCUCAUUGGAUCCAUCCCCGCAACUCUUUAGAACCUGAAGCAGAUUGAGAGUUUGGAUCUUUCUCACAGCAAAUUGACCGGUACGGUACCAUCCCUUCGCAGCUAUUGAGGUGAGCACAUUGGAGGUUUUCAGUGUUGCAUACAAUAACUUGUCCGGUAAAACUCCAGAGAGGAAAGCUCAGUUCGGAACCUUUGAUGAAAGUAGUUAUGAGGGAAAUCCUCUUCUUUGUGGACCUCCAUUGCGAAUUUGCAGUGAAACAAACUCGUAAUUGCGCAGCCUGUACCUAAUAAUGAACAAGAAGAUAAUAAUGGUUUCGUAGACAUGGAUGCUUUCAUUGUGAGCUUUGAGGCAUGUUACAUAAUUGUGUUGUUGGCAAUUGCAGCAGCUCUUUACGUAAAUCCUUACUGGAGAAGAAGAUGGUUUUACUUCAUUGGAGAGUGCUUAAGCAAUUGCUACUGUUUUCUAGUGGUUAAUUUCCGUAAGCUGUCCAACAUCAUGUCAUCGGACCUCUGUAUAAUCAUUCAAUUAGAUGACACAUUUAAAAAUUUUAAAAACUAAUAAUACUAUAACUAUGAAGAACACCUAAAAUAUUUAAUUUUAUUCUUCCAAGUCUCUGCUAAACUAAUGAUACACAAUUGUGGUACUAGCAAUUGCGGGAGUUUUGUACAUAAACCCAUAUUGGCGACAUAGGUGGUUUUACUUCAUUGAAGAGUGCAUGGAGACUUGCUACUUUGAAUUGCAUACAUUUCAUAAGCUAUCCUCCUUCAUAAGGCCAUAGGGUCUGAUGCGUGCCUUUUGUUUUUUCAUAUUUUUUAGUUUGAACUAAUAAAACCUUUACUUUUUUUCAAGCUUCAGUUCAUUUUAUUGCAGUUUCUCAAAUGAAUUCUACAAAUUCAAGAUAUAUAUGCAUCCUUAAUGCCAUAUUAAAAAGAAUAUAUAGAUAGAAGAAGAGGAGCUUUACGUGAUAUGGAUAGCGUGAUGCUCCUAAGCCUAGAACCAGCUAAAACUUAAUAUUAUGAUGAAUAAUUCAGCAAAACUUAAUUCAAUUUCAACUUCCAAUCUCAUCAUUAGUACAAAAUGCAGAGUCAGAUUGAAAGGAAAUUGAUUGGAACUUGAAAUUCAGGUAACAAUACUUCUAGCAGAGCUUCCUCCUUAGCCUCUCCCUAUUGUAUCUUCUUCGAGUGGAACUCUUAGCUUUUUGCCCUCCAAGAUAUAUGUUCUCAUCUUUCUCAAGUACUCUCUUUUCCAUCCAGCAUAAGCAAUCACAACUUACCUCAACGGAAAACUUUAUAGCCAACUUCAAGUCUUCAACCAAUAUUUAAAAGGAAUUUUGUCCUUUGUUUGAUAAGCAAAAUCAACAGAACCUGUCGUUGACUUUCUAGCUCAUAUAUAGCAGUAGCCAUUUUAAGGAGCAGAAACAAACACUGUAGAGAUUUAUCAUCACGAAAAUCUAGUUGAAGCCAACUACAUCAAAACUCCACAGCCAAUGUAUUAAUCUAGUUCUGUAAGCCUACACCUUUGGCAUUUUUAUAUAAACUUAUAUCCUAGCUUAAUAACAAGUAUUUUAGUUACUGGAAAAUAAAUAGAUAAGAUAAUCCUAACUUAAUCUAAAUUAAAUAGUUAACACAAUAACACAAAUCAAAACUCAGGAAACAAGAAACAAGUGUGAAUUGAGUUAAAACAAAUAUGAAAUCAAAUAGAGGAUGGAAAGUUUAUUUUUAGAUCAAGAAUAGCAUGUAUUAAAAAGAUAAUAAAUAAAAUUAGAGUAAUAACAUUGCUACAACUUAUCAUUAAAUUUCAUUUGCAAUUUCCUCUCAAUUUUCUGUAGUUUUGUAGAGACAAAGAUUAGUUGGUCCUUACGGGAAUUUUUCUUCCUUAAUUUCACUCCCAUUUUCCAAACGAUGGAAUUCAUACAACCUUUCGAUUUUAUUUCCACGUAAAAUCCAUUCUUCUGUAUCAAACAGAACAUAAUAAUGGGCCAUAUUUUAAUUUAAAUAUCUUUUUCCUAAUAUUUAAAGCCUUUUUGCUGGGAAAAUGGGGAUUUGAGAGAAAAGACAAUAGAUAAGAAAGGACAUAAAAAAAAGUGAGAGAAAAUGAUGGUGGGUCUUCAUUCUUCAAGGACCGUAUUGGAACUCCUUGGAGGCAUGCGUGAGAGGUGAAAUGGAAAAGUAUAGGGAUCAAAGUGUAAUUUCAAUGAAUAUAUAGGGCUUAAAAUACAAUUUACCCUUAAUUUUUCAUGGAUGACGCAGUCACAAGGGGAGGAUAGAGGUCAUUUCUGAAAUGAUAAGACAGGCAGUGACAAUAAGUAAAAUUUUGUAAAUCAUCAUCAAUAAGAAAUCAUGACGUGGGGACAGAUCAGACGGUUGAUAGUGACUCUUUUUACCCGCUCUCUUUCUCUCCGUGGGGGGUUUUAGGACAGUAUCGCGCGAGAUGCGCGGGUGCCGUGUUCUUACAUUUCCAAGGUGCAUAGUGGGAUCCAUGUCUUUAUCCAACCAAUUAAAAUCUUGUACUCCUUGGGACCCACUCGGUUUCUAGUUUUUUCUUUUUAAAAAAACAAAUUCAUAAAAGCCCUCAACCUUCGAGGCUCCUCUCAAGCUAGUCUCAUCUCUAUCAUAGCAAUAUUAGAAUUUUUAUUCAUUUUUAGUUAACAGAAAAUUUAAGUAAUCACUUGAAAUUUAUAUGGUUUUUUUUAUAUCACUUGAAAUUUAUAUGGUUUUUUUUAUAUCACUUGAAAUUUAAGUAAUCACUUGAAAAAAUUCUCAUUUUAAAUCGCUUGAAACUAAUUUUAUAAAGAAACACAACCAUCUUACAUUUUUAUAAUUUAUAUAAUUUGUUUAAUUACAUUAAAAAAUGAUAUAAUAAGAUGAAGAGAAAUCACAUAAAUGUUUGAUUUUAUAGCCCUUUAAAACAAACUCAUCAAAAUAUUUAAUCCAAAUUAUAGACUCUAAUAUGAAUAAAUAGAACUGGGCUAACUAAAAAAAAGCAUGUUCAUGUAAAAUGACUAGUCUGACUAAAAAAAUCUAAAUUUCAUUUCGACCUUUAAAUCAUUUUUAAAUUUAAACAAGAGAUUCUAGGUCUCAAUUCUAUAAAAAGGUGGCCUCGGCUUGAUGUUUGAGUCAAUUUCAUUCUAGUCUGCAUGGCAAUGGUCCCACUCAAUCGCAGUAUCCACAUGAGCAGAGUCUAAUGAACUACUCAACAUGCAUUUGGUUCUGGUAAUUCAAUUAUGCGAAGGGUGUAGGUUCGAAUUCUUCGACUUAAACGAACAUGUUUGCGUAAUUAAGUGUUCAAUCACGUACUUCGCUAUUGAAAACAUUUAGAAUUUAUCAACAAUUCAAUUAAGCAGGUAUAUACAGACUUCCAACAUCUGUAGAUAUCAUUGAAUCAUUAGUGAACACUGAGUAGACCGAGAUCCAGAUCAAAAUGUGUCACUUAAGCUCUUAAUAUUACAGAAAACUUACAAUUGCCCUGAUGGUUAGCACAAAAGACCGGCUUGGAGUUCAGACUAGCCAAAUUGCCCAACUCUUUAAGCCUGAAUUUUAUCACCAUCAUAAAAUGGGGAAAUUAGUUUAGAUAUACAAGGCGAAAUGGAAUUAAUUACCUCACAUUUUGAACUUCAGAUUGGUAAUGCAUGACCACUUGCAGGUCCUCCUAGUGUUAGAACCACACCUUGAAGAUCACUUCUUGGAUUUGAUUCUUUGGCUAAUGAUGGAGCAGCUCUGAUUACCGGAUAUGUUCUGGUCACUUGAGUUUGUCGAGAACUAUGACUGGAUUCUUGUCCUGAGAAUGUUGUUGGAUGAUGAGAAGGCUUCAAGGUAUCAGUAUGAUUGGAGUUUGGAAAUUGAUGAACAAUGGGGAUUUGAGUUGCUGGUGAUGCAUGAUUUUGAGCUAGAAUUGCCCCUCUCGAUACGAAACCAGGUGCCUGAUAGAUAAAAUUAGGUUUCAAUUCGAGUUCGAAAUAUACUGCAACUGAGGAAGUAAUGAGGAGCUUACAGGUGAAAACAAGACCCCUCUGAAAAUCUUCCCAUUAACAGUUGCAGUCAUUAAAAGGCCUGAGUCGAAGGCUCCGUCAACUUUACCUCGAACUUCAGCACCAACCUAUGGAGAAAGAGAAGAAAGUGAAAAGCAUGUAUUAGCAGAACAGGAAGAAAAACAAAGACAGGAAAAAUUGUAAUCGACAAUGUUUUGCAUUGCAUAUAUCAACUUAAUGAUUUACCAGGUUUUGAAUACACCCUGGCUCCAUGGGUUUAUGUUCCACUGCUGGGAAUGGUGUUCCUUGCCUGCCCAACCCUGCAUGAACAUAUUGCUCUACUCUUUUAUUCUCUCUUGAAAUUUGGAGCCUUUGCCGGGUUUUUUGGAUCACAAGUCUAGGUAGUUUCUGAUUACUUGCAACACUAUCAGCCUGGUAAUUUCUUGGAAUUUUGUUUAACUGCCUAAAGAAAUUAAGUCCUUUGCAAGAUGUGAGGGAAUCAACUGAUUUCUGAACCGGUAUCUGUUCUUGGUCGGACUGAGACGGAGAUGAAUGGUGAGAGGGUGAAAGAGAAUGCUCUUCUUGUUCUAAAUCAAUCUCCCAUGCUUUUGAAUUUGUAGGUCUUAUCUUCUUAUGAUGCAGAGUAUCUGAAAGGAACGUUGUAGGUUUUUGUUAUUAAUACUACCUGAACUGAACUGAAAAGGUUGCUUUGAUUCUUCUGAUUCAUAUGAGCCCUUCAUGUCUAUUUCAUUGUUUCCCAGAAACAUUGACUGCUUCACAGAACAAAAUUAAUAACCCUCCCAACUUGAACAGGCAUAUUUAACAGGAGGUCAAGUGUUUGCAUUUUGAGAGUAAAUAGUUUAGUUACCGAAAUAUCUUCUGCUCCUGGGAGAAAUCUCUUUUCUUGAUUCCAAUGUUGUCCAAAGAUCUUGCACAUGGGAAUGUUGUAUCGACCAUUGGGAUGUUCUGCUCCAAGUUGCAAGACCAACAACUGAUUGAGAGGACGCUCAUCCUCUCUGCACCUGCACAUACAUACACACACACAUACAUACAUAUAGAAUUGAAUUAGGAGAUACAUGAAGAUUAUGGGAGGCAGUGUUGAGAACAGAAGCUGCAGAUGCGAAACAAAAACUUUCAGUUACCCUCCAUAGAUGACAAUAUCUGAGUCGGUGACAACCGCAGUGUGAGAAAACCUCCCUUGAGGUUGCUGGCCAGAUAUAUCAAGUUGAAUCCAUGAACAAGUACUCACAUCAAGCACCCAAACAUCAUUGUAGUAAUGUUUGUCCCCAACACCUCCAAUGACAUAAAGCUGCAGACCAUGGAAAGCACAUUAAAUCUCUUUCCAAAAGCCAACAAUUGAUAAAGGAGCAUCGAAGAAUCAAAGCCUUCAAGCAAAAACAGGUGAGCAUCAAUAGCACAGACAACAGAAUAGGGUAUAACAUUCCGAAGAAAAACUAGUCUAAUUUUCAAAUCUAUUUCAGUGCCAUGACUUGCCUUUGUUCCAAUAUAUAUAUAUAUUAGAGAUUGGUUGGUUAUUUAAAUUAAUUAUUGAUAUCCAUCAUUUUUUUAAUUCAAAGUUUUCUCUAUAGUUUAGGAAGAACGAGAAAUUUUAGAGAUUGAGAAACCCUAUAUUUUAUCCUUUGUUAAAUGUGGCAUCAAGUUAGGAGUAAGCCUUCUAGUUUAAUAGAUCAUAGAUAUAACACAAAUAUCUAUGUUCAUGUUAAAUAUUAAUGAACAAUGUUAUUUGGAUUUCUGUACUCUUAUAAUUGUUCAUUUGUAGAAUUGAUGGAGGUUCUUCAAUAGUUCUUCCAUGGAAUAGUUUAAAGAUCAGAUUUUAAUUACCUUCAGCAGGUAUGGUGCUAUGGAAGUCGACUCCGGUUAAGGAUAGGACUUUAAGAGUAGACAAGGGUCUCAUUUUCCUAAGAAAGCUUGCUGGGAGAGAAGAAUAAUCGAGGAACACUUCUUCCAGGCUAGACGAAUUACACAACCCUGUAGAACAGAUAAAAUAAAUCCAUUAAUAUAUUAUAAAUAUCAUAUUGUUUUAGGCACCAAAACUGUCACUGACCUUUCCCAAAGUGUUUAAAUUUACUACCACUUGCUUGUAAGGUCUUGAGGGAUGGCAACGCUCCCAAUGACUCUAUCAAAAUGCUUUCCUUGAAGUCAAUCAUUUCCAGAUACAAGAUUUCUAAAUUCCUUAAACCUGUGAUAUAGAGAACAAUCAAUAAUAAUUAUUUACAAUAAUUAAAUAAUUUUUAAUGUUAGAGUUAAUAUAUACAAGACAUAGCUUAAGUUAUUAAAUUAAAAUAAUUUUUAAUAUAAUAAUUAAAUAUUCACGAGAAUCAUAUCACCUUUAUUUAUUUUAAAAAAUUAAAAACAAAAUUAAUUAUGUGUAUAUUUAAGUUUCAAUUACUUCAAAAUUACUUCACUUAAAAAAUUACGAUAAAGAAUUAGUUAUAUAAAGCCUUUUUAAAGGUUCAUUUAAGCAAAUUAAUGGUCAAUCACACAUCUAAUUAUUAAACAAGUUAACUAAAGAAUAGAUUAAGCAAAAACAAUAUAUAUAUAUAUAUAUAUAUAUGUUCAACGAAAGUUAUGAUUAAGACACAUCUAAUUAUUAAAUAAGCUUAAUAAAAAAUAAAUUAAGCCUCACUAAAGACAUGCGCAGGUUCCGAGAACAAGUUGACUCUUGUCAAGGUGGUGAGCUCGGUGAAGGCAUUGUAAUACUCAGAGUAUGAAAAUAGAUAUGGAUCAACCUUUAAUGGGUUGCCCCCAUAGGUAAAGGUGGAGAGCUACCUGGACUCUUGAGACUAAGAGUGAGAGACUCACAGAGAAGUAAGGCGUGGUUCCUAGGGUGGAACAGAGGGCAGAUGCAACUCCUGGGUGAGUAGACUCUUGGAAGUAUGGUGAGCUCGUGAUCAUAUUGAGAUACUCAAAUAAUGACUGUCGCACUUGGAAAUGGAAAUUUCCGUUUGAGGGGGUGUUGUAAGCCUUGGUGUGAGGCUUGAUGAAUCAUUCCGGACCGAGCAUGGUUAAUACGCUCGAAGGGGAAUGUUGUGUCCCAGAGACAAGCGUGAACACUCUUCAGAUGUGAAGUGGCAGACCAUCUGGUUGUAGUGAUCCUUUUGUGUGAGAAAAGGUGUACUUUGGUGACUCUGGUGAUUGAAAGGUGUGGCAAGUACCUGUAAACUUGGCCGGAGAUGCUCUCGGAAUGGUAAGCUUGGAAGAGUUGCAAGAUGCAAGCUUGUGCUAAAGAAGUAAGCGGGCAACUGCCCAACAUGAAUGGCAAAGGGGGUGAUUGUUGGGUUGGUUGCCAUUGCAUGUGCAACCUACCCUAUAAAGAAGUAGGGUUACCAUUUGUCAAUGGUGGUUGCACCCACCAUUGACAAAUGUAUCAACCCAUGUGCGGCUGCUGUUAUUGAAGAAGAAGAGCCACCAUCCUUGCCUAUAAAUAGGCACCAAGAAAGAGAGCAAAAUGAGAGAGUUGUGAGAAUGUAAAGAGUGUGAAGAGAGAAAGAAAGAGAAGGGCUGCUGCCUUAUGCAGCUGCUGCCCUAUGCAGCAAUGAGAGAUGGGAGUUGAGUGGAUGUGAUCCUCCUCCAUGUUUGUAUUCUUUCUCUAUCUCUAAAUAAUAUAGACUCUCUCCCGUGGAUGUAGGCGAUCUGCCGAACCACGUUAAAUAUUGUGUCAGUGUGCUUGCUUUUCGUUGAGCAAUUAUCAGUACAUCACCGGUCGGAGUUUCCCCAACAUUCAUGUACGCCUGAAAGGAGCCAUGGAAUUUCAACAAUGCCAUCUCCAAGGAGCCAUGGAACUUUAAAGUGGGAUGUCGUGUACGCCUGAAUUGUAUAGUGACAAUGGUGGAACUGAUGCGGUUGCAUAGCACCAACCAGUACUUUCCUAAUGAUUUCCUUGCGGAAAAAAUUAAGGCAUGUUGGAAAACGAUGCCACCCUAACAAUUAAUCCAAGAGUUCAAAUUCAACUUGAAUAAAAGCACGAUAAAUGGAUAAUUUAGAGGAGAAAGGAUCCAAGAACAUCAUGAAGGGAUGGUUCUAUUUUGUUACGCAACAAUCUCAACAGCUAAUUAAGAGGUUAGAUUGUAGGGUCUAAUUUCAAGUGCAAGACUCUAUUGAUUCUCAUCAUUAUAGUAAUAAAACCAUGACCAUUUUUAUUAAAUUAAGAGGAAACACAAAAUUAAACAAGAAAAUCUUAAGAGUUCAGAAAUAAAUCUAACAUUGUCGAACAGACUGUGAGCAAACCCAGAUUUGGUGGAAGAUAGAAAUAUGAAGAGAGAGCAGAAAUUGAUGGUCUCCUUGUUUUUCAUGGUCUCCUUGUUUUGCAUUUAAGGUUCGGCCAUCUAAGCUUCUCAUUGGGUUUUAAUUUCCUGAGUUAAUUUCAUCAUGGCUGGACUUGAAUAUCUCUAUAUAUACACUUAAGGCUGGGUGAGCUUGUCUCUUUAGCAGGCCUUCUUAGGCUUUUGUUCUUUCAAACAAUGUCAGCUCUAAGCCCAUUAUUUUACAGAAAAGGUAAAAUACACUUGUCAUGGCUGAUUGAAAUCGUGGAAGAAAAAACUAGAGGAAAGAUAACCGAUUGACCCCCAACGAAGACCAAUGCAGAGGAAUUUCAAAGGGGAAAAAAGGUGGCGGCUUUAUGAUGCAGUUCAUCUAAAGAUAAACCUAAUCUGAAUUAAUUGUUCGGUCUCCUUCAAAGCGAAAUAACUUUGCCAGGUUUCCUCCCAGUGACAUUACAUUAUUAAAGUUAAAAGCGCUGAAGCACAAUUCAAAGACAAUAAGUAGUAUUAAACUUAAUAAGCUAGUUCAAUGGAGGAGAAUGGUGUGCUGAAACACUAUGAUUUUCAAAAAAAUUGAAGCAUAUCAGAUCCAUGCUGCUGCAUUCGCAAGAAACGAGCACCCAUCAACAAUGUGCUAAAUGUCAAUGCAGAGCUUUAAAUCAUCUACAGAGGCUCAUGAAGAAAAUAGGCAUAAAUGAUAACAGAUAACACACCAGAGCACUCUACGUAAACUGAUAUCUUUAGAAAAUUCAAAGGCAUGAAUGAAAAAGAAAAGCGAGGAAUAUCUAAGUCAACUCUUAAUUUGUAACAGUCCACAACUUCAUGUUUGGUGUGUACUGUAAACCAUGCUCUCCACAUAAUCACGAGCUUCAUCUGCAAAAAACCAUUUUCACUUCUGGGGACAAGGGAUCAAACAAAUAUAAACCUGUUGUUGGAUUACAUUCAUAAUUUAUAUCAAGCCCUAGCUGCUGCUCGAAGGUAAGAAUUGGCUGGUUGCUCAGCACAACAUAACUGAUACAAACAAUUACUGAUACAAGCAAAGGACAAACACAAGUCACAUCAAAACAGAAAGGCUAAGCAACAAGAACACUUCUCACAGGCAAAUUGCUAAACAUGUAGUUAGCAACCAUUGAUUUGGAAUGCGACUGCUUCUCCACAGAGGAUUACAACAAAUUCAGAAAGCAGCCCACACGCUCCUGAUAAGAUCCAAUCACCUUCUGAAUCUGGACAACUUGGGAAAGUUUAUAGCCAAAAAGCAGCAGCAAGUGUCAAUGCAUUCUUCAAUGAAGUAAAACCAUCUGCGUCGCCAAUGCGGAUAUAUGCACAGUACUGCUGCAAUUGUCAACACCACAGUUAUGUAACACCCACCAAAGCUGGCAUAGAAACUGUCCAUGUCUAUGAAGCCACCAUCUCCAUUGAAAUCGUUAGGCACUCUAGCGGAUGGUGAUUCUGUUUUGUCGCAACUUUUUUGCAAUGGAGGUCCACAAAGAAGAGGAUUCCCUUUAUAACUGCUCUCAUCAAAGGUACAAAUUGAUUUUUCAUCUCCGGUGUUCUUCCUGACAAAUUAUUGUACGACACGUUGAAAACUGCUAAAAGGUCAGUUCAACGAGUUGUGCAGGAAUUCUCCCAUUCAAAUUGUUGUGAGAAAGAUCCAAGCUCUCUAUCUGCUUCAGAUUGAGAAGGAUGAAGGGAUCAAUCCAGUGAGAUUAUUUGUGACAGAUUUAGAGAAUAUAUCCCACUUAAGUUUCCCCAUUCUGUCGGGAUUUCUCCAGUGAAUCUGUUACAAGAAAGAUCCAUAACAGACAUGUAACGAAGGAUAUCGCCUUCGUAAGUGUAGAAAUUUUUCUUUGUGUAAGCUCUACAGAUAUUUUUAC
rnacentral:lncRNA from 1 species